GUACUUGAAGCUGAUGGAUUUAACGAUGUAAUCGAGAAAAUCUGUUGUGUCAUCAAAUUUGAACCCUCUGCUGAUGGAGGUUCAAUCUGCAAAACCACUAACACAUACUACCCCAAAGGUGGUGCUCAGAUCGGUGAGGAACACCUCAAGGGAGGAAAAGAGAUGGGUUUGGGAAUGGUUAAGGCUGUUGAGGCUUACCUCCAUGCAAAUCCUACUGCCUACAACUAAUUAUAAUGAAUGCUACUGAAGGACUCUUCGACAUAUUUUCUUCAAGAUUGAAGUACACACUGAGGGUGUGUUUCCUUUUUUGCUUGGUUUGCUUUAAGCUGUUUGGUUAAGUUAAAAACAAAAUUGAAUCAUAGAGAGAACAAAAAAAAUAUAGUGUUUCUUAUGGAGAAAAAAAUGGAGCUGAUGCCUAAAAUCUCACAUGGAUCCAACAAGGAUAUGCUCAAAGUUGGAAAAAUGUGCUAUAAUUAUGAUUACUCCUUUAUGAAAUAAAGCUGAAAGCAGCUCAAUUUCUUUUUGUUUUCCAUAUUAUUCAAUUUCGUUGUCGAUUUUUGAUAGUUGUAUUUUUUUUAUUGCUUUAAUAAGGGCUAUGAUUGGAUAUCCUGUUAUGCCAUUGGCUGUCGAUGCUAAACCUGAUAAAUUAGAUGGAUCAUCCAAAUAAAGACAAAAUUGGCUAUGUAAACAUUGGUGAGGGACUAUUUCAGCUUAAGAAAAAUAGUUGAGGGACUAAAUUGGCUUAUAAUAAAAUUAGGGACUACUUCAGCUUUGUAAAAAUAGUUGAGAGACUAAAUUGACUCAUAAAAAGUUUAGGGACUAUUUUGACAUUAACGAAAUAGUUUUGAGACUAUAAACAUUAGGUCACAAUGUUGAAAUAUCAAAACCCAUGUUUGGGACCAAAACUCAUAGAACUUCUUCACGUCGCUAGCGAAAUUUGAUUCUGAAGUAAUGCUAAUUUUAUUUAUUAUUUGUUUCCUUGCUGGUCUUCUGUCUUUUUGGUUACAAUAUUAAAAUGUAUCCAUAAUUUUCAAUUCCAAAAGUGUUGAAUAUUUAAACGAAUUCUAGAAAGGGCACUGAGAGUCAAAAUCUUAUUCAAACAGCCAGCCAUCUCAGAGUACAUAUUUUUUUAUUAUCAGGUUCAAAAUGUAUCUAUUGCAAUUUUUGAAUGAUCAGCCAUGACUAAGAGAAUAAAAUAAUUCACUUGCUGUUUUUAGAUGUGAAUUCAUGACUGUCAGUAGUCUAUAAAUACACUUAUUGCUCACCACUCUUUGCACCGCAAAAUCUUUUCAAGAUCUAUCAAACCCUCCUGUUCUUGAUCUUUGUCCAUUUGUGAAAAAGCAAAUUAAAGCAUCAUGGCCUCUAUCACUUGUAGUGCUGAGAUGACCUCCCCAAUCCCUCCUGCAAGGUUGUUCAAGGCCGCCAUCCUUGAUGACCACCUUCUUCCCAAGAUCAUGCCACAGGCUAUUAAGAGUGGAAAUCCUUGAAGGAGAUGGUGGAGUUUGAACCAUUAAGUUGAGCACAUUUGGUGAAGGUUAGCAGUUAUAUUAAAUGUAGAACCCAAAUUUUAAGGAUCUAAUAAUAAUCAAUGCGUGCAGGGUUACAGAAUUGGAGGGAUAAAAUAAAUACUCAAAAUAUACGUGGAAGAAAAGAAAAUAAUAAAUUCAACUCAUAAUAUUAUUGAAAUUUCAAACAAUGAAGAAAAUCAUACCACAAUAAAUUCAGCUGGUUCUAAUAAUAAUCAAAGCAUACAAGGUUGCAGAAUUAAAAGGAUAAAACAAACACUCAAAAUAUAUGUGGGAGAGAAGAAAAUAAUAAAUUCAACACACAAUAUUACUGAAAUCUCAAACAAUGAAAAAAGUCACACCAUAAUAGAAAACCUUGCUAAUUCUUCUAGAUUCUUUCUCUUGAGAAACCAACCUAAAUAAUGUCCUAUUUAUAAUCUACCAAACUUGUUAGGAAAGAAACCACUUGCAUAAGAAAUUACCAAAUAAAACAGAAAUUCCUAAAUCACACAACUACUAAAAACAUAACUCAAAUAAAACUAAAAAUAAAUAAAUAUUUCUUGGCUUAGUUUAAUUUGUCAACAUUGCCUCCCUUAAACCAAACUAUCCAUUGAGAUAGGUUCAACACCAUCUCGAGCAAUAAUUUCUAUGUUGUAGUACACUUGACAUGAAACUCUAACUUGUUACCAGUUAUUAAUUUCAUUUUUACAUGUAACAAUGGACGCACUAUGUAUUUUGUAAAAAAUUUCUCAGCAAUUUCUUCUUGAUCAAAGUACUCACUUAUACAAACACAUUCAUCACCAGAAUCACCAUAUUUACCACCAAUGUAAGUGCCUAAAAAUACAAAAUCAUAGAUUGCUUUCUGGCUAAAAUUAUCAUCACCAAAUAAUUCAAAAUAACCACUACUACAAUCAUCCAAAAUUUUCAUACUGUCAGUCAACUCUUUUGGAGUAAAGUAUUUUUCAACUCCGAUGACAUCCAUAUCUAUCAAAUCAAACAUUCUCCCAUGACUUUGAAGAGAGUCCGCAACCAACGAAUUUUUCAACAACAAUUUCAUGUUCUCUUCUCUUAUCAAAUCAAAAUUUUCUUCUUCUUUUGUCAAAUUACCAUUUUAUUUUUUUCAACAAAUUCAUUACUUCUAAUUUCUCCAAACAAGGUACGCAAAUCAAAACUAUCAAUUGAUUCAAAAUUUUCAAUAUCACCCAUAUUAUCAACAAAUCUAUCAUUUUUAAAAUCCACAAACUAAUUCCAACAACUAGACUUCGGUUUGAAAGCAUAAUUUCUCUCAAUCGUGUGCAAAACAUAGUAAAUAUUCUUCCAAAAUCUCUAAAGUAUUUUAGUACAACCAAUAAAGGUUUUAUAAAUACUUUUUGCCAUUAAUUUAUGCAUCACUUGAAAGAAUAAUUGUGCCUUUUUCUUAAAAACAUGUUUUGCCAACUUACUUGCGUCAACCCAACAAAGAAUAUCAUCCAAAUUACAUUGUUUGACAUAUUUUUCCACUGUUAAAAUCCAACCAAAUAUGUAUGUAUAUUUGUGCUUAUAGGAGUCAAUAUGAAAAAUUUUUCACCGUCAAUCAGAUCUUUAUAAUAUUCCAUUAUUUAACAAUUUGUAUACCUGAAUAAAUUUUUUUCCUCCAUCCUGUCAUGUUUUCUUGGCCUCCCUGGUUGACUAACCAAAUUAUUGUUGUAUGUAUACCCAUGCUCGUCAAACCUCAUUCGUGUACACUCGUAAGGAGUGGUUCUGAGCUUAUUGUGAAUGCUCAGUACCAAGAAGUAGAAGAGAGAAUGCAUAAGAGAGAAUUAACUUGGCUAAAGAAUUAGGAAACAAUUGAGGGAUUUUUUAAGAAAUUAAUUCUCCAACUGCCACUUUUGGAAAUUUUCUAUCAACAACUAGUUACCAAAACACUAGCACAUAGUAAGAAAUCUGGAUAAUUUCAGAAACCUCCCUUGAGGCUUUUAAUAAUCUCGAGAAGCUCCCCUCAAUUUUUAAAAUUGCACGUACCAUCCCUAUUGGUGCAAAAGUACUCUACUACCCCUAAUAGGAUACUCAAAAGACUUUUUUUAUGGGAAAAAAGAAGGCCAGAAAUCCAAGCGAAAACAAAAAAAAUCAAUUUAUUUUCUCUUUUAGCCUUUUACGCUUUUGCCUUCUACCUUUGCUCACUUUCCCAUGCCAAUCUUCCUAUAACCACUUUCCCAAUCCCCUUUCCCCAACUUUUCUUCUCUACUUCAAGACCAAUUUUUGUCCAUCAAUCCUGGCUUGUGCUUUGUUCCAUUCCCUUCCCUUCUCCUUCUUUGAUUUCCCCUAUAUCUCCCCUUCUCUUUGCAAAAGUGACUAGGCUCAUCUCUCUCCUUUUUUUCCCCAUAUUUUAAGUGUAGUGGGUUUGAUUAUUUUGCAUCUAUUUUAUUUGAUUUUGGUUGAUUAUGGGUGAUAAAACUUGGUGAUGUCACAUAUUAAAAGUUUGAUAGAUGGAUAUUGGGCUUUAGACAAUGAUUUGCUGAAAAAAAUGGCCGCAAUGAGAGGAAGAGGCAAAGGGAUUUGAGUGUGGGGUUGAUUGUUGAUGAAUUGUUGUUUUGGAAAAAAUUUGAGGUUGAGUUUUAUCAAAUUUGGUAGCAAGUGGCGAGAUUUGUUCAGGUUGCGGGAAAUAAAUUGGUUUGUGGUUUCUUGGGCACCCACAGUCGUUGGAAUUGGUUUUGAUUCAAAUUAGGGUGGUUACUUGAUUUUCCUAAUAGUGUUGCUUAAAAGCACACGAUCAUCAAAAUUCCUUAUUUUUAUCUUUUAUUUUUUUUUUGUAGAAAAGAUUUCAUGACUUUCGUGAUAGUCUAAUUUGGAAGAAGGCAAUCAAGGGAUGCAAUCAACAUUUAGCAAAAGCUCUUGUUCUUUUCUUUGUAAUUUUUAGGGUAAAAAGGGUUGUUUAGGGUAUUUGAAGGAAAUGAUAGUCUAUUGGGUCUAUUUUGAAGCAUAAAUAGUGAACGUAAGGGAGGUUGGUGUUAUUUCUGAAACCUAAGGGAAUUGUCUGAAAUUGUCCGAGACCUCGGAGGAGGUUUUCAAAAUUAUCCGUAAGAAAUCAAAUGCGAAACUUGAUUCGUACACGCACACACGACACCACACCACGUCACGCGUGUGUUGAGGACUGAUGUCCGUAGCCAACGACAAGCAGGUUUUCAAUUUUUUUUUCCUUUCCUGGAUUCAGAGAUGGUGUCAGCUUCUAUUAUUGGUGAGCAGGAGGAAAUCCACAAUAUACAGUACACAUCACCCAUAUUCUUUUUAAUUGAACAAUGUAUGAAAUUAUGGUGAUUCGAAAUUAAAUUAUAUGUUUAUUGGACAACGAAUCCAAAAUAAGAGUUGGAAAUGUAUUGUGACAACAAUUGUUAACUUUGGCCACAAAUGAUCAAAAUAAAUAUUUAAGGUUUAAUAUGACAUUAUGGGUUCAAAAUAUAGUUACUUGUUAUGAAACAACUAAAAGUGCGGAUGCCCAUUUGUAUUCUCAAAAGGAUCAAUUCAUAAUUCAUUGCUCCCAAGAUGAUUAAUUCAUAAUUCAUUGCUACAUUAUGUAAAGAAAUUACAUUGGAUGAAUGGUUUCAAUCCAUAAGAGCUAUUCAUGUAUUGGAUGAACCGUUUCAUAUGGCUAUUCAUGUUCUUGUAGUAAUGAGUGUUUAAUAGAAUUGAUGUACCUUUAAUUUUAUAGUACCUAUACAUAGAGGUACCUGGCACCUCUUCGGUGUACUUUUUGAUUAGUUGGAAUAAUAAGAAAAUCAUUCUCCAUUUCUGUACUCUUUCACUAAUAUUUCAAUUCCUAUUAUAGUAGUUCAUUUUUUUUUAGUUUUACAACACGUUAUCAGUACGAGUCUCUCCUUUUAAACAAAAAGGUGAAAACGGAGCCUCUACCUUAAAAAAAAAGUGAAACACGAGAUUUUGCCGAAAUUCUGCCGUAUUUUUCCAGUAACUUCUGUCUACUUAUUGAGAAAUGGAUGCCAAAUAUUUGGGAUUAAAUGAUGGUGAUGAUGACAUUUGUCUCAUUGAUAGUGCUACUACGCGCACUAUAUUGAAAAAUAAAAAAAUUUUCUUGUAUGAAAAUGGGAGAGACAAAUGUUAAUAUCAUAAGUGGUAGUGCAAAAUUGAUUGAAAGAUUCGGAAGAGCCACUCUAUUUCUUCCUAAAGGGACUAAAAUUGUCGUAAAUAAUGCACUAUUGUCUCCCAAGUCUCGGAGAAAUUUAUUGAGUUUUAAAGAUAUCCGCAAAAACGGAUAUCAUAUUGGGACAAUGAUUGAGACAAAUGGAAAAUUUUUAUUAAUCACAAGUAUCAUUUCUAGACAGAAAUACGUAGUAGAAAAAUUACCUUCUUUUUCUUUUGGCUUAUAUUAUGCACAAAUUAGUGCAAUUGAAAUUUAUCACCUAGUAAACCAAAAGUCUAUUCAUCCCAAUAAUUUUAUCAUUUGGCAUGAUCAUUUCAGAAAUCUUGAAUCUAUAAUGAUGAGACAAAUAAUCGAGAAUUCACAUGGUCACUCAUUGAAAAAUCAAAAGAUAUUAAAAGCAAAUGAAUUCUCCUGUGUUGCUUGUUCCCACGGAAAAUUUAUUAGACCAUCACCAGCUAAAGUUGGGACUGAAUCCCCUACAUUUCUAGAACGAAUUCAUGGUGAUAUAUGUGGAUUAUUUCGAUAAUUUAUGGUGCUAAUUGAUGCAUCAUCUAGAUGGUCACAUGUAUGUUUAUUAUCUACUCCCAACCUGGCGUUUGCGAGUUUGCUUGCUCAAAUAAUUAAAUUGCGAGCACAAUUUUCAGACUAUCCAAUAAAGAAAAUUCAUCUAGAUAAUGCUGGUGAAUAUUCAUCACAUACUUUUGACGAUUAUUGCAUGUCCAUUGGAAUAACUGUUGAACAUCUUGUAACUUAUGUUCACACACAAAAUGGUCUAGCCGAAUCAUUUAUUAAACGGCUACAAUUAAUUGCUAAACCAUUGUUGAUGAGGUUUAAACUACUUUCAUCUGCUUGCGAACAUGCUAUAUUACAUGCAGCAACACUUGUGAGAAUUAGACCGACAAGUUAUCAUACUUAUUUUUCCCUACAAUUAACUUUUGGUUAUGAAUCCAAUAUUUUUCAUUUAAGAAUAUUUGGUUAUUCAGUUUGUGUUCUAAUUGCACCGCCCCGACGUUGUAAAUUGGGCUCGCAAAGAAGAUUGAAAAUAUAUGUCGGGUAUGAAUCACCUCUAAUUAUUAAGUAUAUGGAACCAUUGACAGAUGAUUUAUUUAUUGCGAGAUUUGUAGAUUGUCAUUUUGAUGAAUCAGAUUUUUCAACAUUAGGGGGGAGAUAAAAAUCAACCGAAAAAGGAAAUCACUUUAAAAAUAUCAUUGAAUUUUCUCGAUUCUCGUACAAAAGAAUGUGAACUAGAAAUUCAAAAGAUUAUACAUUUGCAAAAAAUUACAAAUCAAUUACCGGAUGCAUUUAAUGACUCCAGAAGAGUUACUAAAUCACAUAUUCCUAUUGAAAAUGCUCUGAUUAAAAUUAAUAUCCUUGAAGGACAAAUUACAAGUGCUAAUGAGUCUAAAGUGCGCCUGAAGCGUGGGAGAUUUCUUGGUUCCAAAGAUAAAAAUUUUCGAAAGAAAAGAGGAGUACAUGAAUCAACAAUUAAUGACAAAAUUUAACCUCCUGAAGAGAUCGCUCCUAAAGAGCCAAUUCUUGAAGAGAAUAAAAUCAUAGAAAAUUCAAUAAAUUUUGUCACUUCAGGGAAAAGUUGGAACCGAAAAGAAAUAAUUAUUGAUAGUAUUUUUGUAUAUAAUGUAGCACUUGAUAUUAUGGUAGAGAAUGGGGAUUACGAGCCUAAAUCGAUUGAUGAAUGUCGACGUAGAAAUGAUUGGCCAAAAUGAAAAGAUGCGAUCCAAUUUGAAUUGGACUCACUGGUUAAAAGAAAAGUUUUUGGACCUGUAGUCCAAACACCUGAAGGUGUGAAGCCAGUAGGAUAUAAAUGGGUAUUUGUGAAAAAAAAAUGAGAAAAAUGAAAUCGUGAGGUAUAAAUUAAUACUUGUAGCCAAAGGAAUUUCACAAAGGCCUGGAUUUGAUUAUGAUUACACGUAUUCACUUGUAGUGGAUGCUAUCACAUUUAGAUAUCUUGUGAGUUUUGCAGUACAUGAAAAAUCAGAUAUGCAUCUAAUGGACGUCGUUACUGCAUAUUUAUAUGAAAAUCUUGAAAAUGAUAUUUAUAUGAGAAUUCCCGAAGGAUUCAAUAUGCCUGAAACAUGCAAAUCAAAUCUUAAAAAUAUUUAUUUAAUUAAAUUACAAAAGUCUUUGUAUGGAUUCAAACAAUCUGAACGUAUGUGGUACCGCCUUAAUGAAUGUUUAACUAAAGAAGGCUAUACCAAUGAUCCAAUAUGUCCAUGUGUCUUUAUCAAGAAAAAUGGAUCAAAUUUUGUGAUAAUUGUUGUAUAUGUUGAUGAUCUAAAUAUGAUUGGAACACCUGAAAAGAUUCAAAAUAGUGUUGAAUAUUUGAAAAAAAAUUUGAGAUCAAAGAUUUUGGAAAAAUAAAAUUUUUCCUUGGUUUACAAAUUGAGCAUUUGAAAAGUGGAAUUUUGUCCACCAAACUGCUUAUACCCGGAAGGUAUUAAAGCGAUUUUAUAUGGAUAAGUCACAUACAUUAAGUAUUCCAAUGGUCAGAUCAUUAGAUCCUAAUAAGGACCCUUUUAGACCGCGAGAGGAAGAUGAAGAGAUACUUGGUCCUAAAGUACCAUAUCUCAGUGCAAUUGGUGCACUACUGUAUCUUGCUAAUUGUACAAGACUUGAUAUAUCAUUUACAAUAAAUUUAUUAGCAAGAUUUAUUUCCUCGCCCACAAGACGACAUUGGAAUGGUAUUAAACAUAUUUUUCGUUAUCUUUAAGGAACAAAUUGAUCUUGGCUUAUUUUAUUCAAAUAAAUCUAAACUUGAAUUGCUUGGUUAUGUUGAUGUUGGAUAUUUAUCUGAUUUGCAUAAAGCAAGAUCUCAGACUGGUUAUCUAUUUACAUAUGGAGGUACAACCAUUUCUUGGCGAUCUAGAAAGCAAUUAUUAGCCGCCACUUCAUCGAAUCAUGCUAAAAUAAUAGCAAUUCAUGAGGCUAGUCGAGAAUGUGUUUCGUUAAGAUCAAUGACCUACUAUAUCCGGAAGAGUUGUGGGUUAUCCUCUGAAAAAGAAAAUCCUCCGACUAUAUUUUAUGAAGAUAAUGCAGCUUGUAUAGCUCAAUUGAAAGGAGAAUAUAUUAAAGGAGAUAGAACGAAAUAUAUUUCACCAAAAUUCUUUUUUACUCAUGAUUUACAAAAGAAUGGUGAAAUUGUUGUGCAACAAAUCCGAUCAGAUAAUAAUUUGAUAGAUUUAUUUACUAAUGUAUUGCCGACUGCAAUAUUUGAGAAAUUGGUGAAGAAUAUUGGAAUGCGACGACUAUAAAAUCUCAAAUGAUAUUUGCAUCAGGGGGAGAAAUCAAUACACAAGAAUAGUGUACUCUUUUUUUUUCACUAGAGUUUUUGUCCCGUUGGAUUUUUUCCUAGUAAGGUUUUAAUAAGACAUAUUCUUUGUGUAAUUAAUAUCCAAUGGGGAGUGUUAUGAAAUAACUAAAAGUGUGGAUGUCCAUUUGUAUUCUCAAGAAGAUCAAUUCAUAAUUCAUUGCUCCCAAGAGAAUUAAUUCAUAAUUUAUUGCUACAUUAUGUAAAGGAAUUACAUUGGAUGAUCGGUUUCAAUCCAUAAGAGCUAUUCAUGUAUUGGAUGAACCAUUUCAUAUGGCUAUUCAUGUUCUUGUAGUAACGAGUGUUUAAUAGAAUUGAUGUACCUUUAAUUUUGUAGUACCUAUAUAUAGAUGUACCUUAGCUGAUAGGUUGCAAUUUUAUCAUUUAUUUUAUAAUUAAUUUCUCCUAUUACCUGACUUGAUGUGGAUUAAUUGCGGGAUUCUACUCACUUUUAGUAUUUUGCAUUUAUUUCAGGGAGUAGAGCGAAAAUAUAAUAACAGGUGCUAAUUUGACAAAAAAAGAGUCCAAGGCACAGAGCUUAUCCCGGGGGCAUUAUUGGCAAAGGAAGACUUUUGCCCAUUUUGGUAAUUUCAAAAGAAGAGAGCAGGGCAGAGGCCUCUAUUUUACUGGAGGCUGGAGCGCCGCACAAAGGGAGCUUCUUCUUCCUUCGGAGGCUCCGUCCUCUCCGCAAGGGGGCUGCCGCACACAGCAGCCAUUAGAAUAGGAGCAAUUGAUAUAUGACAGAGAAUGAGCACUAGCACCAGGGAGUUGCCUUUGUUGACUUUUCUUCCCUUUUAGUUCUUAGUAGUUGUUUUACCUUCCUCGUACGUAGGACCUUUAGCAUAGUUUCCUUUUGACUUUCCCUUGAGUCUUGGGUGGAUGUCUCCUGCGCAUGUCAGGAGCAAUUGAAGGUCUCGGUCACUUUCUGUAUUCUUCCAUCAACUGAGCGAACUGAGCUCCCUUGGUCAAGGGCAAUGGCUGCGGCUUCCUCUCCAACUUUGUGUGGGAUUCGUUCACCAGGAAUGAACUAAUUUUUCUUUUCUAGUCAAGGAACAACGGAGGUCUUGGUUGGCCUAAAUUUGUGAGAUCGAAUUAGUUUUUAUUUAUUUCCAUUAUUCACUGGUAUUUGUCUAUCUUCUGCUUUAUGUUCAUAUGGUUGUUUUAUUAUUCGAUUAUCCAGGGCCCGGAUACUAGAUUAAUUCAAUAACCUGAAGCCAAUUAGGAUAGUUAAAUCCGUAAUUGUUUAAUUAUUCUAAACUGCUGGCAACUGGCAUGAUUGGGUUUGUGUCAGGGGGAUAAACAUGCUAACUUAAAGAGACCCUCGUAGCGUGUUGAUUGGUUAGAAUUAGGCUCUUCUAAUUAUUCAUGCAAUUAGGGAAUUGAACUUCUAUGGUCGUACCUAGGGUUAUUUCCUGAUUAGAGAAAUAGUCAACGGUCGUACCUUGGCUAUCGACAAAUUGAGGAAGAGUUGGUUGUUUAUCGCGUGUAUGGCAACUAUAACUAAUUUAUCAGAUAGUAACUGGAAUAAUCCUUGCAUCUGUGAUCGAAUUAAGUGAACCAUCUCCGAAGUUGUCUCUUGGCUAGAGUUCGUCAAUUAUUAUUUUUAUUGUGAUAAUUAGUUAUUUGAGUUGUAGUUAUUUUAUUUUAUUUAUUCCAAGUAAUUUAGUUACUCUCAUUUUCAAAAACCCCCCAUAUCUGGAACUUGAGAAGAAAUUAAAUUAUCCCCAGUCCCUGUGGAUUCGACCCUGCUCACCGCUAUAUACAGAAUUUGUAUUUUAUUUGAGCAGGUAUUUAUUAUUGCACAGGUUCGGCACCUGUCAAUUUUUUGCUACAUUAUGUAAAGGAAUUACAUUGGAUGAUCGGUUUCAAUCCAUAAGAGCUAUUCAUGUAUUGGAUGAACCAUUUCAUAUGGCUAUUCAUGUUCUUGUAGUAACGAGUGUUUAAUAGAAUUGAUGUACCUUUAAUUUUGUAGUACCUAUAUAUAGAUGUACCUUAGCACCUCUUGGGUGUACUUUUUGAUUAGUUGGAAUAAUAAAAAAAUCAUUCUCCAUUUCUGUACUUCUUUCUCUAAUAUUUCAAUUCCUAUCACAGUAGUUAUUUUUUUUUAGCUUUACAACAUUACUUAAAUAAGAGAGUUAUUGGACUAUAUGUUUAUUGACCUCUACUAACUUAUUUAAGGUCAUUUCAUAUCACUAUCCAAAGAAGAAUUAAGGUCAUUUCAUAUCACUAUCCAAAGAACAAUUCUUGGGCGCUAACAUUUUUCUUACAUGACUAUUAAUGAAAGUUGACCCAAAUCUCUCUGUCUCUCUCUUUCUUUCAAUUCUUAGGACUGAUGCCAAUUCUUACCAUUUAGAAAGAAAAAUUAGAUUGUUUAUAUAUAUGAUGAGUUCCCUCUAAGUCAUGGUUAAGAAAAAUUCUUAGUUAAACGCAGUUUUAUGAAAUGUGAAUUUCCUUUUCUUUGUCUUUAUUCAUUAGUAUUAUUGGGGUUAUUGUAUUAUGAUUGCAAUGCACAGAUACAUGGAUUUUUGACAUUUUUUCUUUUUAAUUGACUCUGACUAUGCCUCAAACUCGAGACAUCAAACCUGGACACGACUUUUGUCCAAAAUGCUUGUAAAAAUUCAGAAGAAUAAUUUUGGACCUUAUUAUUUGAUAAUGGUACAAUUAUGAGAGUCAUUCCAGGUUAAUUAUCAAACUUGGAACUUGAAAAUAAUGUCGACAUCAUGUCAUUAUUAUUUUUUAGUUUCAUAGAAAAAUGAAGUAUUCUCCAACUCGACAUUAUCAUAGUAUUUUCAAUUGGCAGCUCAUGUGAGAAAGACAAGAAAUUCACAAUCAACUGGCCAAGAGAGUGCCAACAAAGAAAGCACUAAAUGGCUUAAACAAUGCAUGCAAAUUUGCUUGGCACUUAAACAAUAGACACCUAAAUCAACCAUGUCACUGUCUUGCCAAAAAAGGGCAUUAAAGUAAAAACAACUCAUGCCUACCACAGGUAACAAACUUCAGCACCUUCACUUCACUACCAUGUCAGCAACAACAUUUGCAAAUUUCCAAGGAAGUCCACGCACUAAAGGUGCCCAUGCCCUUAGGGGACCUCAGGUUAGUGUUCUUAACCUCAACUCCUGUCUUUCUGUUCUUAGGAAAUAUUGAAAUUAAACGUUAUAACUAAUCCUGAUUUCCUUGUGCUAUAUUUGUACACAAUUUGGCAACAAGGGUAAAAAAAAAUAAAAAUAAAAAGGUUUAUCUGCAAACUGUAGUUCGGCCUGGCUCUUUUUUUUUUUUUUUUUUUUGGGGAUAAGAUCAUCUCAGCACCCGCAGACCCCGUCAUGUAUCAAUAUUUCUGUACUUAGCAUUGGCUUCUUCUCGCCUGAAGAACACACGAACCACCGAAAUAGAUGGUGCAUGAAAGUGCACUUAACCCUUUUAAUUUUUCAAAACAAUCUUUUAGAAAAAAUAAUAAAAACUUUUUGAAUUUAAUUUUAGAGAAGAAGAAUUUUAAAAUUUUUUGAAUUUAAUCUUAGAGAAGAAGAAGUUUAAAAUGUACUUUAAUUUUCACAACUGAUGAUGAAAAUAGCAAAAUGUACACGGAUAGUGACAAAAGUGGGAUCACGGGCAGGAAAUCCUGAAGGUUGCGUGCAUUUUACACACGGCAUAAUUCUGUUUGUAUAUAGUGUAAUUUACUUUUUACAACGUGUAAUUUUAAAACAAAAUUUUGUAAGUCUCACACAUUUUAUUAAAAAUAAGGUACAAGAUGAAAUUUGGACCAUAUAAUUUUUUUUAAUCAAAUCUUGACCGUGAACUGCUCAGAAACGGUUUACCUGAUGACCGUCCCUGGUCCAAACCCGACAAAGGUGCCAUCUUAUCCUUUUACUGACUGGCCCGUUUUCCAAUGAGAGGGCCCAGAAGGGGUGCCUCUGCUUCAUAGUUUAUCCAUAUUGAUAUUUCUUUUCUGUCCCCCUAACUAUUAAAUGUGAAAGGUUGCCCACCAAAUUUGACGAAACCGUUUAUCCUAAUUGAUUAUUAUCAAUAGGGCAUAACUUUAAUAUUCUUCUUCCAACCCUUUCUGGUGAUUCCUGCAACUCCAGCCGUCCGUCAAUGACCAUAAAGCACCAUUAACCGACAACUAACUAACCACUAUUAAUCUAUUCUCAAAUUUUAAUGAAAUUGCACAAUCUAUUCUCAAAUCAAAUUUGAACAACAUUUUAUAGUCGAUAACUUUGAAACUUGAUAAAAAAGUCUGUUUAAACUCGGUUUAGUAAAUAAACAAAUCAAGUUUGAACAAAAUUUUAAACUCAUUAAAAUAAUUAAACACGUUUGAAUAUUAGGGUAUUCGAUUUAAUUAGACACGUUUGUAUCCCUAAUUAAAGCAUGCACUUUUAUAAGUUUAGGAAUCAACAUUAUACAUUUAAUAGCUAGCUAGAGGGUCAAAAAGUUAAUUGCCUUAAAUUCUUUUAGCAGCCAUAAGGUACAGUUGGAGGGAUUCCCUUGAAAUUGGUUAGAUUCUUCUAUGUGACUAAAGAAUUUCGGGUGUGACGCAUUACUAGUCCUACCCUAAAAAAAAAUGGUAUUACUAGUCCUUUUUUUCUUUUUUGGCGUGCCCCCGUCGUGGGAUGUGGGGAGGGGAGUCUGUGCGAGAAUUCUAGGUCGGGGUACAAGGAGCCAAAGUUCACCUUAUUCAAAGUAAACAACCGUCCAUCUCAGUUGUCGACUUUCCUGUCGAUUGCGUAUAUAUAUAUAUUACUAUCUUUUACCAUGACUUUAGAGGAUAGCUAAUUUUGCUUGCUAUUAAAUAAUAAUUUCGGUAGUCUAUAAAUACUCUUGUUCCUCACCGCUCCUAGCACCACAUAAUUCCUUCAAGAACAGCCAAAACCUUCUUGAAAUCCCUCUUUUUCCUUCUAGUUCAUUUCCAAGAAACAAAUGGCCCCUGUCACUUCCAGUUAUGAGGUCACCUCCUCAAUCCCUCCUGCAAGGUUGUUCAAGGCCACCAUCCUCGAAGAGAAGCAUCUUCACAAGAUCUUGCCACAGGGCGUUAAGAGUGUCGAAAUCCUUGAAGGAGAUGGUGGAGUUGGCACAAUUAAGUUGACCACAUUUGUUGACGGUAAGAUAAUCAAUACAAAGUGAUUAUUUUCACACAUUUGAAGUCUUCAAAUUUUUCUCUUUUUUUCCCUUUUAUUUGGGAAAAACUAAUGACUUUUUUUUUUUGGUUGGGUUAAAUAUUUAGGUGGCGAGCAUAAGACUGCCAAACAGAGAGUUGAUGGAAUUGACAAAGAAAAAUUUACAUACAGCUAUACUGUACUUGAAGCUGAUGGAUUUAACGAUGUAAUCGAGAAAAUCUGUUGUGUCAUCAAAUUUGAACCCUCUGCUGAUGGAGGUUCAAUCUGCAAAACCACUAACACAUACUACCCCAAAGGUGGUGCUCAGAUCAGUGAGGAACACCUCAAGGGAGGAAAAGAGAUGGGUUUGGGAAUGGUUAAGGCUGUUGAGGCAUACCUCCAUGCAAAUCCUACUGCCUACAACUAAUUAUAAUGAAUGCUACUGCAAGGACUCUUCGACAUAUUUUCUUCAAGAUUGAAGUAUAAACUGAGGGUGUCUGUUUCCUUUUUUGCUUGGUUUGCUUAAGCUGUUUGGUUAAGUUAUUCGCAGCAAGAGAAUAAAAUAAUUCAUUUGCUGUUUUUAGAUAUGAAUUCAUGACUGUCAGUAGUCUAUAAAUACACUUAUUGCUCACCACUCUUUGCACCGCAAAAUCUUUUCAAGAUCCAUCAAACCCUCCUGUUCUUGAUCUUUCUCCAUUUGUGAAAAAACAAAUUAAAGCAUCAUGGCCCCUAUCACUUGUAGUGCUGAGAUGACCUCCCCAAUGCCUCCUGCAAGGUUGUUCAAGGCCGCCAUCCUUGAUGACCACCUUCUUCCCAAGAUCAUGCCACAGGCUAUUAAAAGUGGAAAUUCUUGAAGGAGAUGGUGGAGUUUGAACCAUUAAGUUGAGCACAUUUGGUGACGGUUAGAUGUUAUAUUAAAUGUAGAACCCAAAUUUUAAGGAUCUAAUAAUAAUCAAUUAAUAAUAAUCAAUGCGUGCAGGGUUACAGAAUUGGAGGGAUAAAACAAAUACUCAAAUAAAUGUGGAAGAAAAGAAAAUAAUAAAUUCAACUCACAAAAUUAUUGAAAUUUCAAACAAUGAAAAAAAUCAUACCUUAAUAAAUUCAGUUGGUUUUAAUAAUAAUCAAAGCAUACAAGGUUAAAGAAUUAAAAGGAUAAAACAAACACUCAAAAUAUAUGUGGGAGAGAAGAAAAUAAUAAAUUCAACACACAAUAUUAUUGAAAUCUCAAACAAUGAAAAAAGUCACACCAUAAUAGAAAAUCUUGCAAAUUCUUCUAGAUUCUUUCUCUUGAGAAACCAACCUAAAUAAUGUUCUAUUUAUAAUCUACCAAACUUGUUAGGAAAGAAACCACUUGCAUAAGAAAUUACCAAAUAAAACAGAAAUUCCUAAAUCACACAACUACUAAAAACAUAACUCAAAUAAAACUAAAAAAUAAAUAAAUUUUUCUUGGCUUAGUUUAAUUUGUUAACAUUGCCUCCCUUAAACCAAACUAUCCAUUGAGAUAUGUUCAACACCAUCUCGAGUAACAAUUUCUAUGCAAAUCUAUGUUGUAGUAUACUUGACAUGAAACUCUAACUUGUUACCAGUUAUUAAUUUCAUCUUUACACGUAACAGUGGACGUACUAUGUAUUUUGUAAAAAAUUUCUCAACAAUUUCUUCUUGAUCAAAGUACUCAUUUAUACAAACCCAUUCAUCACCAGAAUCAUCAUAUUUACCACCAAUGUAAGUUCCUAAAAAUACAAAAUCAUUGCUUGCUUUCUCGCUAAAAUUAUCAUAACCAAAUAAUUUAAAAUAGCCACUACUACAAUCAUCCAAAAUUUUCAUACUGUCAGUCAACUCUUUUGGAGUAAAAUAUUUUUCAACUAUAAUGACAUCCAUAUCUAUCAAAUCAAGCAUUCUCCCAUCACUUUGAAGAAAGUCCGAACCAACGAAUUUUUCAACAACAAUUUCAUGAUCUCUUCUCUUAUCAAGUCAAAAUUUUCUUCUUCUUUUGUCAAAUUACCAUAUUAUUGUUUCAACAAAUUCAUUACUUCUAAUUUCUCCAAACAAGGUACGCAAAUCAAAACUAUCAAUUGAUUCAAAAUUUUCGAUAUCACCCAUAUUAUCAACAAAUCUAUCAUUUUUAAAAUCCACAAACCAAUACCAACAACUAGACUUCGGUUUGAAAGCAUAAUUUCUCUCAAUCGUGUGCAAAACAAAGUAAAUAUCCUUCCAAAAUCUCUAAAGUAUUUUAGUAUGACCAAUAAAGGUUUUAUAAAUACUUUCUGCCAUUAUUUUACACAUCACUUGAAAGAAUAAUUGUGCUUUUUUUCUUAAAAACAUGUUUUGCCAACUUACUUGCAUCAACCCAACAAAGAAUAUCAUCCAAAUUACAUUGUUUGAGAUAUUUUUCCACUGUUAAAAUUCAGCCAAAAUAUGUAUGUCUAUUUGUGUUUAUAGGAGUCAAUAUGGAAAAUUUUUCACCAUCAAUCAGAUCUUUAUAAUAUUCCAUUAUUUAACAAUUUGUAUACCUGAAUAAAUUUUUUUCCUCCAUCCUGUCAUGUUUUCUUGGCCUCCUUGGUUGACUGACCAAAUUAUUGUUGUAUGUAUACCCAUGCUUGUCAAACCUCAUUCGUGUACACUCGUAAGGAGUGGUUUUGAGCUUACUGUGAAUGCUUAAUACCAAGAAGUAGAAGAGAGAAUGCAUAAGAGAGAAUUAACUUGGCUAAAGAAUUGGGAAGCAAUUUAGGGAUUUUUUAAGAAAUUAAUUCUCCAACCGCCACUUUUGGAAAUUUCUAUCAACAACUAGUUACCAAAACACUAGGACAGCGAUCCGUCUCUAUUUUACUCUUCAAGUCUUCGCCGGGGAAGCAACCCGGCCUUGCGAGACUAUAAUGAAUAGGCACUUGCCUUCUGUUUUUACUUUUUUUUUGUUCAAAGACUAUAAUGCCCUUAUUAUUUGACUGCGCAUCUCGCAAGAUAAUGCUUUCCAUCAAAAUUAACUGUUGGGUUUGACAGAAGCGCCACGAAUAUUCUAUUUUAUUAGAUCCAGAGUCAAAAUUUUACCGUUAAUUGUUAGAGGGUUAAAACUUUAUCUGGAAAGGAGUUGGAGGGCCAUUGGAACUCUUUUUCCAAAAAAAAAAAAAAGUCACUUUUGUCAUUUGUCCAAGAACAGUUCUGGGGCCAUCUCGACAGUAUAUAUUUUUCUUACAUGCCAAGACAAUUAAUGAAAAUUGACCAAUAACACACGCACACACACACACACACACACACACUCUCUCUCUCUCUCUCUCUCUCUCUCGGUUGCUGCCAAGUCUUUCCAUUGAAAAAGGAAAAUUCAUAUUGUUUACAUAGAUAAAUUACCUCCAGUCCGUGGAAUGUCUUGAUGUUAGGUGAGUUCUAAUAUUUUGGUAUCAUCUAGAGGUGGCAAAUCAACCCACUUAACUAAAUUUACCCAUAUCCGCCCAUGAAUAGAUGGGUAUGGAUAUCUUAAAUUUUUGUAUAUGAGUAUAAAUGGGUUACCCAAUAAUACCCAUUUAAAUGGGUAACCCAUCAAACCCAAUUAACCCAUUUAGAAUUCUCUUCCCCUCAAGUCUCUUCUUUUCCCCCACCUUUUUUUUUUUCAAAUUUUUCAUUUUGUCAUGAUGUUAACUACUUUUGUUUUAUUAUUAUUAUUUGUUGGUUUUAUCUUAUUAUUUUAUUUUCUCUUAGUUUGUUAACUUACUCAUUUUUUACCAUUACCAAUUUAUGAUAAAUUUUAGCCUAUUUUCUUAUCUUUAUAAAAUGAAAUUUUAAAUUUAUAUAUGAAAAAAAUGUUAGGGGUUCAAAAAUUUUGGAUUAAGUUUUUAUAUUAAUUUUUAUAGUACUUAGUUCAAAAUUUUAUAUUCUUAUUAUUCAAUUAUUAAAUAAUAGGUAAUUUUGUGACAUAGAGUAUAAAUGAAAAAAAAUUGGUAAUUAAGUUUAUUGAACAUUAUAAGUAAAUAUUUAAAACUAAUGAUGGGUAUAAAGAGUGAUAUAAAUUGAUAACUUAGUUUGCAAAAAUGAAUUUAAAUGAGUUUGCAAAAAGUUAAAAUAAAUGGGUUAUAAAUGGGUAAUUGGGUUACCCAAUUCAUUUUUUGACUUGCCUAUUUAUACCCAUAUAAUUAAAUGGGUAUAAAUGAGUUGACUCACUUAUACCCAUUACCCAUUUUACCCAACUCAAACCCGCCCAAGUCACCCAUUUUGACACCUUUAGUAUCAUCUAAUGUUCAUUUGUGAAAGAUUGAGAAAUGAUAAAGAGCAAAACACCAAUUUAUUCCAUAAAUUAUUUUGCUAAAAUCAAAAUAGUCCAUAAAUUUUCUUUUGGCCAAAUUUUUGUCAUGAACUUUCAGAAACGGUUGCAGGGGAUUUCAUCCGGAUUGCUUGUGCAGUUGAGUAACUAUACAGAAAUUCUUUUUGGGAUGCUGAGUAUCUUAGGAUGGGUACAAUGAUCGCUUAGAUCAGUAGAGAUGAUUGAUGAUGUAGUAGGGGAAGAUUCCCUUUAUAAAGCUGAUUUUCUCAUGAUUAAUAAGAAUAUAAAUGUUACCAAAUUUUCUUUUCAAAUGUGUAACGAAAAUAUUGGCCAUGAUCAGCAAGACCUCCUUAAUUAUAAAAGUUUCUUGAAUGUCAUCAUCCAAUUUGUUUAAGCGAGGAUUUUUAAAUGCUAUCUUUAAGCAAAUUGAUUUUUGUAUUAUAGAUACUUACUACUAUUACUUCAUACCUAGCUACAAACCUCAUGUAUGUUUUAGUUUUAAUCCAGAACAAAUCAGGGCCACGGGCCACCUUGCACAUAGCGAGAGUGGAAAAAUAAAACUACACAAUUGCUUUUUUGAAGCCAGUGACUCAACUGAUUUUGCGCUCGGCAAUUCAUCCGAUUUUCAUUAAAAGGGCCCUAAGAGGCCAUUGGCGUUUUGGGCCUGUGAAAAUUUGGAUGAUUUGGUGUGUCCAAUGCAUGUGUAAGCACAAAUUUUGUUGUCUAAAAUAAAAGACAAGAAAACUUACAUAAAUAUCAAAUUUAUUAAAUUAAAUAACAAGAGGGUUACAAUAUUUGAAAAUUUUUGAAUCAAAGAAAUUAAUCUCCUAAUUUUUAUCUUCAAAAGGCUUUAAUCGGAAGGCCAAAAAGGCUUGUUCUCCGAUCAAGAGGGUGUUUUCUAUGAUUUCUAUGUAAAAAACGGCUGCUUUGAUGAUGACGUUAAUAUUUGAAUCUUUAAAUCUUCAACGCCGAUGGAAGGAGGAUUUAUUUAACUUAAUUUGGAUUUGGAUUUGAAUUUGAGGGAAAAAGCUCUCAAGAGAAUUUGACAAAGUUACUUUGAAAUUUAGGAAUUUUAAUGUAUUUUUGCCUUGAGGGAAGACCUUUAUUUAGAGUCAACAUAUGCAAGCUAUGUCUUCAAGAGAAUCCUUCAAAACCAUCUUGCGUUUGGGUAACUUGUACCUUAAGAAACCCAUUUAACUUGGAGUUAAAUAGUCGGCCGACCCAAAUAGUCAAUUGUGAAUUAACAAAUCAAUUAAAUCACUUUAAUUUAAAUGGGCAUCACAUUUUUUAUUUGAUUUAAUAGCUCAUAUAACAUUGGCUCAAUUUGUCAAUCCAAAACAUAAUGAACUUCUAUAAUUUAAUUUAAUUUAAUAAAAAUCAAUUUAAUUUACUUAAUCUUGCCUAAAAAUAAAUUAAAUAAAUUUUCGUUGUCUAUGUCCCCACUUCAAAACUUGGCAAGGCAUUGCAUGUUUAUUUGAAUUAACUUAAAACUUCUUAAUACGAUUCAUCUAAGCACCUUUAUAUAUAUAUAUAUAUAUAUAUAUAUAUAUAUAUAUAUAUUUAUUUAUUUAUUUAUAUAUAGAGGUACAGAAGACAUGUCUUUGUCUUGAAACUGUGACAAACAGGACACUUAAGACAAGGGCGUGUGAAGACUAUCGCACUAUUUGAGCGAAAAAAACCUGUUUUGCACGUAUAUUUUGAAGGUAAUCAUCUUUAUUGUCUUUUGACAACUUCAUGUUGGUCGAGUAUCAGAUAUUCACCAAAUUUUGUUGAAAUUUGUCAAAACUUGAUUUGUUUCCAAUUUGGAGAAAAAAAAAGAUUUUUUUCUUCGUUUCUGCAAUUUUCCAGGUCACUCUUUCCUAUCAACAUGUUACGAUUCAGAAAUUGAGACAAAUCUUGUACAUAGGAAUCUUUUUUAACAGCUGAUGGUUGGAAUUUAGCAGACACCUUGAAGUCAAAGAAGGCAAAUAGCAUUCCAAUAGCAUUAUUUGGUUGCAUGCCAUAUCCAAGAUUUUCACUAGUAAGCCACCAUUUUCUUGCUUUUGAUUGUUAUUCAUUCUCUGUUGCGCAAUUUUAUUUUCGCACAAUCUAUUUUUUUCGUUGAAUUUUCUCUUUUGCAAAACAGCGACCACCAAGGAAAGACAGAAAGAUUUUUUUGUUUUUGUUUUUGUUUUUGUUUUUGUUUUUUUUUUUAUGGUUGCACCUUGUGUUGGCACCCCUUAUUUGAAGCAAGUUGAUGUUCCAGUUGUGUUGGGGAUUUUAGGGCCAUAGCUCUUAGAACUCAAAAUACUAAUGUAAUUUCCGCACUCCAUGACAUUUACUUCUUGUCAAUGCCAAACUCUCCUCUUUUUUUUUGUGAUAUGAAAGGAAGAUCUCUCGUUGCAACAUAUAUGGUGGACACUCAAUUUGAAAGAAGGUGCAACCACCAACUUGCACGAGAGCCAUAUCAUGGUUUGAGGAGUAUAAUGAAAAUGAUGCAACUGCAAACUCUUAUGAGAGCCAUAUCAUGGUUGAGAAGUACAAUGAAGAUAGUGCAAUCAAAAAUUUGAAAAAGGUGCAAUCGCAAACUCCCAUGAGAGCCUAUCAUGGAUUGAGGAGUACAACGAAGAAUGUGCCACAAAAAGUUGAAAAAUGUGCAAUCGCAAACUCGCACGAGAGCCUAUCAUGGUUUGAGGAGUACAAUGAAGAAGGUGCAACUACCCACUUCAAUGAGAGCUUACCAAAACUCGAGAAGCCCUUUCAUUUAACUUCACAUUGACUAUUUAUUACUUCUCUCACUGUCUUCGAUCACACCAUUGUAAUCAAAUUUUUUUCUCUUGCUUUUGGUCCUAACGAAAUGGUGAUGGUCAAGGAAGUUACAUCUUCAAACAAAAGGCACCUCCUUAUCACUAAUAGCCAUGAUGACUCUGCUGACAAAGGAACGAAAUUAUUGGUGCAUCCCUCUAUACAAGAAAUUUACUCUGGUGAUUGGUUUUCUCACAAGUAUUCCGAAUUAAAGGAUUGGUCACUAAAAUUUUCUCAAGAUGAUGGUACGAAAGUUCACUCCUUGAAAUUCCUUAUCAUAAUAAGGAGCCAAGGACAAUUGGCAGGCGAAUCCUAGAUGAGACUAAGGGUGCAAACGAGGCAAGUCGAAUCGAGUUUUGAAGUUAUUGAGUCGAGUUACACUUAUUUAUAUGCGAGCUCGAGUUCGAGGUCGAAAAAUAGAGCUCGAACUCGGCUCGAUGUAGGAAAAGGAAAACUCGAGAUCGACUCGCUUAUGGCUCGCGAGUUUAGCUCGAAUUCUGGCUCGCGAGCAGCUCGAGUUUUGCUAGAUUUUCUGGCUCGCAUGAAGCUCGAAGUCAGCUCGAUUCUAGCUCGUUAGGAGCUCCAGUUCGAACUCGAAAACAGCUCGAUUUUCUGGAAAUUUAUGCAAGAAAACAGAAUUUUUGUCCGCAUAUUUUUGAUAAAAUUUGAGCAUGAUAACAAUAAGUUUUCACAUAUUCUUGAUCUUGAGGCCUACAAAUUAUGCACUAAUACAAUCAUAAAUGUCCAAAUGUCCACUAAUACAAAUUAUCCAAAUGUCCACAAAUGUCCACUAAUACAAAUUAUCCAAAUGUCCACAAGAAGUCUGAAGAAUACCAGCUUGUUGUCCACAAAAACCAAGGCAUGACAUGAAGCGAGAAUUUCCUGACUGCGUCCUGGAACUUUACUCAUUUCUGUCUCUAAUUCCUCAUGAUCAGUUAGUCCACCAACAUUGAACAAUAUGGAUCAGGAAUGGGGAAAAAUCACUUUCUAACACUCAAGAUCACAUACAACUCAUAUCCAACAAAUAUCCUGAAGUUUCAUGAGUAUAAUCACAUUAAAAGAGAAAAGGAUACUGACAAGCAUGCUAAUCAAACUCAAGCAGAAAAGGUACUUUCUCCUUGCCGUCUCCGACAUCCCAGCCAGCAAAUGGCUGGGGUUCGUGACAGCUGUUUGGGUCCAAUCCAUCUCCGGCAACAACUAUACCUUCUCCAAUUACUCCGACGCCCUCAAAUCACUCAUGGCCCUCACUCAGCUCCAACUCAACAACCUCUCCGUCGCCAAUUGAUGUCAUUAAAGCAGAAAAUCGGCCUGAUGGCCUCCACCAGCUGCCAUCCCUAAUCCAAGAAGGUCGAGUGUAGUAUGCUUAGGACCAAAUACAGAUGGAGUUCCCAACAUCAGUUCCUUCAAGCUAGACCCACCAUCACACGGCAGCCCUAGUCCUAGGCCUACUACCAAUGAUGCACUAUCAGACUCAAUUGCCCUCCCACUCUUCGCCCGGAAAGACAGUGGUGAAAAGAGGUAAGGAGGUGGCGGCAAAGAGCGACGGGUUAGCCAAAGUUAGAAGAUCCUCUUUUUCUAGAUUUGCAAGUUUCCUACUCUAGAGACAAAAAUGUCCUUGAUAUUUGGUCGUGCAUCUUACAAGAUAAUGCUUUCCGUCAAUUUUAACCGUUGGAUUUGACGGAAGGGCCAUGAAUAUGCUAUUUUAUUAGAUCGAGAGCCAAAAUUUUACCGUUAAUUGUUGGAGGGUUAAAACUUUAUCUGGAAAAGAGUUGGAGGGCCAUUGGAACUCUUUUUCCAAAAAAAAAAAGUCACUUUUGUCAUUUGUCCGAGAACAGUUCAGGGGCCAUCUCGACAGUAUAUAUUUUUCUUACAUGCCAAGACAAUUAAUGAAAAUUGACCAAUAACACACGCACACACACGCGCACGCACACACACACACACUCUCUCUCUCUCGGUUGCUGCCAAGUCUUUCCACUGAAAAGGAAAAUUCAUAUUGUUUACAUAGAUAAAUUACCUCCAGUCCGUGGAAUGUCUUGAUGUUAGGUGAGUUCCAAUAUUUUGGUAUCAUCUAAUGUUCAUUUGUGAAAGAUUGAGAAAUGAUAAAGAGCAAAACACCAAUUUAUUCCAUAAAUUAUUUUGCUAAAAUCAAAAUAGUCCAUAAAUUUUCUUUUGGCCAAAUUUUUGUCAUGAACUUUCAGAAACGGUUGCUUCCUGCAACCGUUGGUGAGGGAUUUCAUCCGGAUUGCUUGUGCAGUUGAGUAACUAUACAGAAAUUCUUUUUGGGAUGCUGAGUAUCUUAGGGUGGGUACAAUGAUCGCUUAGAUCAGUAGAGAUGAUUGAUGAUGUAGUAGGGGAAGAUUCCCUUUAUAAAGCUGAUUUUCUCAUGAUUAAUAAGAAUAUAAAUGUUACCAAAUUUUCUUUUCAAAUGUGUAACGAAAAUAUUGGCCAUGAUCAGCAAGACCUCCUUAAUUAUAAAAGUUUCUUGAAUGUCAUCAUCCAAUUUGUUUAAGCGAGGAUUUUUAAAUGCUAUCUUUAAGCAAAUUGAUUUUUGUAUUAUAGAUACUUACUACUAUUACUUCAUACCUAGCUACAAACCUCAUGUAUGUUUUAAUCCAGAACAAAUCAGGGCCAUGGGCCACCUUGCACAUAGCGAGAGUGGAAAAAUAAAACUACACAAUUGCUUUUUUGAAGCCAGUGACUCAACUGAUUUUGCGCUCGGCAAUUCAUCCGAUUUUCAUUAAAAGGGCCCUAAGAGGCCAUUGGCGUUUUGGGCCUGUGAAAAUUUGGAUGAUUUGGUGUGUCCAAUGCAUGUGUAAGCACAAAUUUUGUUGUCUAAAAUAAAAGACAAGAAAACUUACAUAAAUAUCAAAUUUAUUAAAUUAAAUAACAAGAGGGUUACAAUAUUUGAAAAUUUUUGAAUCAAAGAAAUUAAUCUCCUAAUUUUUAUCUUCAAAAGGCUUUAAUCGGAAGGCCAAAAAGGCUUGUUCUCCGAUCAAGAGGGUGUUUUCUAUGAUUUCUAUGUAAAAAACGGCUGCUUUGAUGAUGACGUUAAUAUUUGAAUCUUUAAAUCUUCAACGCCGAUGGAAGGAGGAUUUAUUUAACUUAAUUUGGAUUUGGAUUUGAAUUUGAGGGAUAAAGCUCUCGACAGAAUUUGACAAAGUUACUUUGAAAUUUAGGAAUUUUAAUGUAUUUUUGCCUUGAGGGAAGACCUUUAUUUAGAGUCAACUUAUGCAAGCUAUGUCUUCAAGAGAAUCCUUCAAAACCAUCUUGCGUUUGGGUAACUUGUACCUUAAGAAACCCAUUUAACUUGGAGUUAAAUAGUGGUCCGACCCAAAUAGUCAAUUGUGAAUUAACAAAUCAAUUAAAUCACUUUAAUUUAAAUGGGCAUCAUAUUUUUUAUUUGAUUAAAUAGCUCAUAUAACAUUGGCUCAAUUUGUCAAUCCAAAACAUAAUGAACUUCUAUAAUUUAAUUCAAUUUAACUAAGAUCAAUUUAAUUUACUUAAUCUUGACUAAAAAUAAAUUAAAUAAAUUUUCGUUGUCUAUGUCCCCACUUCAAAACUUGGCGAGGCAUUGCAUGUUAAUUGCUGGAGGCAAGACUUGAAGUAUUAAUUUUACUGCUGACCUAAAGUCAAACUAAAUUAAAGACUUCAAGCGUUCGGCAUACGGGUGAUCCACUUUUUUUUUUUUUUUUUUUUUUUCCUUUUUCUUUGGGAAGAGAAUGGUCCACAUCAAUUGUAGAAUUGCACCUCAAAGUCCAAUUGAAUAGGCAACGGUCACGGGUCUUCACUUUCACCUACUACUUGAAUAAAGCCUUGAAGCUCUUGAAUUUUCCAACUCUUAAUUUAGUCGUCAAUGGAAGUGCAGCCCCACAAUAUUAGACCGCAACUUUGACCCGUAGAAUUAGAAACCCCCGUUUGAUUAUGCGAUGUGGGCUCCUGCGCAGAAACUCCCAUAUGCUGAAAUUUGGAGUUUGCUCGUACGUUUCUGACCACCAAAUCUUGUUUUGGCACUUGGCAAUAUGGAAUUUGCUGAGUUUCAACGCUUCCUAAACGGAACUUUAAUGUAUUUCCAAAACCAAUGUUUGCAACUUCUGAAUAAGAAUAUGCCAAAUUUUAAGAGCUUCCCAAAUUGACUUCCAGCCAUUGAAAUUAUUCUUGGGAACCAAAUUCAAAUGAUUUCCAAAAAGUUAAACGAUAAUCACUGAAUUUAGUAUCUGUCCAAAACUUAAAACUUCUUAAUAUGAUUCAUCUAAGCACCUUUAUAUAUAUAUAUAUAUAUAUAUAUAUAUAUAUAUAUAUAGGUACAGAAGACAUGUCUUUGUCUUGAAACUGUGACAAACAGGACAUUUAUGACAAGGGCGUGUGAAGACUACCACGCUAUUUGAGGGAAAAAAAACCUGUUUGACACGUAUAUCUUGAAGGUAAUCAUCUUUAUUGUCUUUUGACAACUUCAUGUUGGUCGAGUAUCAGAUAUUCACCAAAUUUUGUUGAAAUCUGUCAAAACUUGAUUUGUUUCUAAUUUGGAGAAAAAAAAAGAUUUUUUUCUUCGUUUCUGCAAUUUUCCAGGUCACUCUUUCCUCUCAACAUGUUACGAUUCAGAAAUUGAGACAAAUCUUGUACAUAGGAAUCUUUUUUAACAGCUGAUGGUUGGAAUUUAGCAGACACCUUGAAGUCAAAGAAGGCAACUAGCAUUCCAAUAGCAUUAUUUGGUUGCAUGCCAUAUCCAAGAUUUUCACUAGUAAGCCACCAUUUUCUUGCUUUUGAUUGUUAUUCUUUCUCUGUUGCACAAUUUUAUUUUCGCACAAUCCAUUUUUUUUCUUUGAAUUUUCUCUUUUGCAAAACAGAGACCACCAAGGAAAGACAGAAAGAUUUUUUGUUUUUGUUUUUGUUUUUGUUUUUGUUUUUGUUUUUUUUUUUUAUGGUUGCACCUUGUGUUGGCACCCCUUAUUUGAAGCAAGUUGAUGUUCCAGUUGUGUUGGGGAUUUUAGGGCCAUAGCUCUUAGAACUCAAAAUACUAAUGUAAUUUCCGCACUCCAUGACAUUUACUUCUUGUCAAUGCCAAACUCUCCUCUUUUUUUUUGUGAUAUGAAAGGAAGAUCUCUCGUUGCAACAUAUAUGGUGGACACUCAAUUUGAAAGAAGGUGCAACCACCAACUUGCACGAGAGCCAUAUCAUGGUUUGAGGAGUAUAAUGAAAAUGAUGCAACUGCAAACUCUUAUGAGAGCCAUAUCAUGGUUGAGAAGUACAAUGAAGAUAGUGCAAUCAAAAAUUUGAAAAAGGUGCAAUCGCAAACUCCCAUGAGAGCCUAUCAUGGAUUGAGGAGUACAACGAAGAAGGUGCCACAAAAUGUCGAAAAAUGUGCAAUCGCAAACUUGCACGAGAGCCUAUCAUGGUUUGAGGAGUACAAUGAAGAAAGUGCAACUACCCACUUCAAUGAGAGCUUACCAAAACUCGAGAAGCCCUUUCAUUUAACUUCACAUUGACUAUUUAUUACUUCUCUCACUGUCUUCGAUCACACCAUUGUAAUCAAAUUUUUUUCUCUUGCUUUUAUUGCAAGUUGGUCCUAACGAAAUGGUGAUGGUCAAGGAAGUUACAUCUUCAAACAAAAGGUACCUCCUUAUCACUAAUAGCCAUGAUGACUCUGCUGACAAAGGAAUGAAAUUAUUGGUGCAUCCCUCUAUACAAGAAACUUACUCUGGUGAUUGGUUUUCUCACAAAUAUUCCGAAUUAAAGGAUUGGUCACUAAAAUUUUCUCAAGAUGAUGGUACAAAAGUUCACUCCUUGAAAUUCCUUAUCAUAAUAAGGAGCCAAGGACAAUUGGCAGGCGAAUCAUAGAUGAAGACACACACUGGGGUGCUUCCUUGAGAUUUAGUGAUGAAUUUGGUUAUAUCGAGAAUUAUUAGGAGCGGUUGGAAGAUAUUUUUGGAAAAAACAAACAAGUGUUUCGUGAAAAUUACUUGUUCGAUGUCUUAUAUGCUUCGCUUCUCAUAUAUAACAAAAAUUCUCAUGUGUUUAGAGCAUUUUGCGAGACAUGGUGCCUAAACACUAAUACCUUGCAUAUGUCAAUUGGAGAAUUAUCUCUCUCACUUUGGGAUCUGUGUAAAUUAGAAGGACUUCCAAUCAUCGGAUACAUCUAUGAAGAGGCGAUCCCAUGUGUAGAGGAACUAACUGGAGUUAAUGAAAAGAAGUUGAUGCAUAUUCCGCAAAAUUGUGAGUAUUUGUUCGCGGCUCUGCACUACCUUCAACAUGGAGAAUACUACAAUUAUGGAGUUUCUGCUAGCCAAUAGAUUAACUUUUGGUUUAAAGGCAACGUGAGGUAUUCAAAACCAAAACAGAGAAGGAUAAAGAGAGCAUCUAGUGCUUAAGCAACCCAAAAUCCAGAUGGAAAGAUUGGACAACCACGUAAUUUUUAAUUCAAGACAAUGGCAUAUAUGAUACCAUUGGAGACAAGUCUCACUUACGAGAAGAGACUUAUCUUGUAGCAUUUAUAUCUUGUUGACUCUACGUUUUUACUCUACCAGAUGAGGACGUCUAUUAUAUUAGACUAUCUACCUUCAAAAUGGCUAGCAUGAUGGCUGUCGGAUAUAAAACUUGCCUUGCUGUUCCUGUCUUGCUGAGUAUCUAUCACGGAUUCAAUAAAAUUUCAAAUUCAUCUACUCCAAGGUGUGCGCGUGCAUUUUUUUCAAUGCACUACGUGUAUGCUUAACUGGCGAGUUAUUUCUCUACCCAUUAUUCAACUCCGAAUAUCAUGCCUGGACCAACAAUUAUCAAUUAUUCUGGAAAGGGUGUGCACAAUAUUUUGAUGAAAAUAGUGCUUGCGACCUCAUUCAUCAAGGAGACAAAGUAACUUGGGGGACAACUUCUCUUGUGAAGAAUUAAAAUGAAUUUUUUGUUGAUGAUGGCAAGUUAGCGAACCCAGAACUGAUUUAUUUCGUAAGUGCUUGCUCAAAUUAUUUAGUCUUACAUGCUGAAGGAGAUUUUCUUGUUGAGCCAUACAGGUUUGCAAGGCAAUUCGAAUUUUAUCAAAACACCCCACAAGAACUGGGAGCAGAUGUUCAUUCUACAAAUUAUGACUUGAGUCAAAUACUUUGACACAUUGCUAUUCAUAAUAAGACAGAGUCGAAGGUAUUUUUUUCUAGUUACCCCUUGAAUGCUAACAAGCAUAUAUCUCCAGAUUUUCAAACAUGAUGUUUUGAUUAAGAGUGUCCAACCAAAUUUGAAACAGAAGAAAUCGAAAGGAAAGAAACUUGCAAAUUUGAAUAAUCCUGUCAAGGUUGGCAGUAAUCUUGAGGCGAAACAGAAAAUCACCAAGACUGUGAGGAUUGAGGAGAAAGCAUUGCAGAGCUCCAGCAACUCGUGAAAUUCUAAUUUUCAAUGAAGAAUUUUCGAAUGGUAAUUCAUUUUGUCUUCCUUCAAUAAUUGUAAAAGCCACCAAUCAUGAGUCUCGCAAUUCCAAUGAAAAGAAGAGGAGCAACUCUUUUGAUGAGAAGGAUGAGCAAUCUACUAGUACAGACUAGCACUAGAAGCAUAAGAAAUUCAAGGUAAUGACUUUCUCUUUGGAUGAUAUUGUUUUAGACCCUAAAGAAAUGUUUAAGGACAUUCUGGACAAAUAUGUGCUUGGUAUAAGUCAUGCCAAUAUUAUAAGAACAUUCUCUUGCCUUCUUUAGUUUGGCAUUUGAAAUUUACUUAUCAAUUUCAUAUUCAUGAUAUGUCUCAUAACAUUUUCCAUGUAGUUGAAUGAUCAAAACUUGAUUUUUAUUAAUGAUGGGAAAUCAAGCUAAGAAUUCGUUGAAGGACCCACUAUAUUUUAACUUUUAACAAAACAAGUGGUCAAUUCUACUCAAUAAAAGGGCAUCAUUGAAAAUUUCAAAAAGGCAGUGCAUGAUGAAAAUUCAGUUCAACAAAUCAUGCUACAGAAGAAAGAACAUGUGACUUCACCGGAGAAAAAAAAGUUCAAAAUUUUUGAUCCACAACCGUAGCCAAGGGCACCUCAAGUGUCUGAAUUUUGCCCCCAAACUAUGAUCUUAACAUGUCAUCGAGAUUACAUUCAAAUGCUCUGAAAUAAUUUGAAGGUGCUGAUAUCCGAAACAAUCCUGGAACGCAUUUCUGCUCUUAAGAUGAAAGCAAAUGAAAUCAUGGAGGAAAUGCAAAGUUUCAAUGCUAUGAAUAUUUCAAACUUGUAAGGCCUUUUAAAGCCUUUCUUUACAAAACCAAUUCGUUCUGUCGUAAUAAAGUCUUCUUUCUCAAAUAAAAUUUCAAUUGAAUCAUAUAAUGAGUUGUUUUCUAUAGCUACCCAACAUCUUAGAGAUGCUCAGAGUAAGGAGAAAUAAUAACUUAAAAAGUUCUCAACGUACAUGUUAAAAUUUAAAGAGAUUGACCAUGAGAAAAUAGAGCUAAGGAAAUGACUUGAAUCUAUGGGUACUCAUAGGAUGGAAAUACUUUCACUGCUACGAAAGAAACAAGACGAGCUUACCUAAAUGCAAGGCAAGAUGAUCAACUUAUGAAAUGAAAUUCAAAAGAUUGAAGAUUCCCUAUCUUUACUUGUUGAGGAGAGCCAAACAUUGAACAAAAUGCAAGCACUACUUGAAAGCAACUGCAAAAAACUGUCAUCAUUUGAACUUUAGAAUUAGUUACAAUCUUUUACUUUUUUCAAAUUUUAUUUAUUGUCACUUGCCUAUAUUAUAUAGCCACAGGCAUAAUUAAUUUUUUAUUUCACCAUGAAUCAUGAUUUUUUUUAUUUCAUGAUACUCUUGUGGAUAUUUCUUACUUUCCUUUGUUGCUUUCAUUAACCACCAUUUUAGACUAUCGAUUGCAAAAUAAACAAUUCAACAUUUGCAUAAUUUUAAUCACAUUUGAAGAGGUAAUUGUCUACAUAAUUUGAUAAUUUGAACAAUAUACUUUCAGGUGUAUGUUGCAAAGUAAUUUGAAUUGCCCUAAAGAGAAAAACUUUUUAUCUUUUAUUGCAUGACAUCUUUAUGGGGUUGUAACUGAAUUUCGAAGUUACCAUCUAAACUGUUUGCAUAUCCCAAAAGGGAAUAAAUUCACGUGUAGUUCCUACCAUCCACAGUUUAAUUUCUUGCAGGUCAGGAGUAUCUAUUUGCUUAUCACUUUAAACUUGGUGGAGUGUUUUAGUAGUUUAACCAUAUACUACACUAUUGGUGAUUGCCGUCCACAGUUUUAACUCAUAUGGACCAAGAGCAACAUGCAGUUUAGACUCAUGUGUCAUGAAACAACAUGCAGUUUAGGGUCAUGCGUCAUGUUGUCCUUUAUUUUUUUUAUGGCGUGUAUAAUCUUAAGAAAUUUUCAUUUAUGGGUCAACAUUUACACCAUUUUGUCAACUACCUUGUACGCGUUAUUUGUAUAAACAUUUCGGAUAAUAUAUGGUCCAUCCUAUUCGGAGACAAAUUUAUCUUUAGCAUGAUGAGUCAUAACUAUUGAUUUUCGAACGGCGAACACUAUGUCACCAAUUUGAAAGGAAUGAUGAUGAUAGCUUUAGAAAGGUAAGCCUGGUAGCAUUCAAGAUUUUGUUGAGUUUCCAAUUCCUUUUCAUCUAAAGUUUCUAAUUCUUUAAGAAGCAAGCAAAUAUUUUCUUUCUCCAUGAGCCCUUAUUGGAUGGCAAUUCUCAGAGAAAGAAUUUGUUGUUCAAGAAGCAAGACAACUUCUACACCAUAAACUAAGGCAUCAGGGGUGGCUUGCAUUGGAAUUCGAUAUGUGGUGCGAUAAACGCAGAGAGUUUCACCUAUCAUUUCAUGCCAAUCCUUCUUUGAUCUGGCCAUCACUUUUUUCAACAAGUUGCAUAGAGUUUUAUUGAAUGCCUAAACAAUACUGUUGGCAGGGACAUUAUACAUAAAGGACUUGCGAUGUUUGAAUUUAAAUUUCUCACACAACCUAUCCAUUAAACAGUUGAAGAAGGGUUUCCAUUAUCAGUGAUAAUGUGUUAGAGAAUUUCAUAACGAUAAAUAAUAUUUACACGAAUGAAAUUCACCAUAUCUUCUUUUCUCACUUGAGUGGUAUAGUUUCAUCCCAUUUAGAGAAGUAGUUGGUUGUAACCAAUAUAUAUAGAUGUUGUCCGAACGACUUAGGCAAUGGUCCAACAACAUUAAGGUCCCAGGCAUCAAAAGGCUAAGAAGUAAUAGUCAAAUGUAAUAGUUCGGGUAAUUGAUGAAUGUAAUUUGCAUAGAAUUGACAAGUUUGACACCUUUGAGCGUAUUCCAUACAAUCUUUGACCAUAGUAAGGCAAUAAUAGCCCAUCAUUUUAAUCCAAAAAUGCAACUUGGGACCGAAUUGGUGAGUUUGACAUAUUUCAAAAUGUGCCUCUUGCAUAGCUUGAUAUUCAUUAUCUUCAUUCAGACAGCGCAAGAAUACACUUUCAAAUGAUUUUUGAUAUAGCGUAUCUUUGUAUAAGAUGAAACGGGGGCACGACAAUAGAUAUCAAAUCUUUUAUGUUGCUCCUUAGGUACCUUUUGAUACUUGAUAUAAUUGAUAACAGGUUGUCUCCAAUCUUCUUUAUCAACUUCAUAAGUUGAGACGACAUAAGCAUCACCUUCCUCAAUAUUUUCAUUAUCAAAUAAUGGUGAAACUAUCCACUUUUGAUACACACGAACUUGUAUUUCAUAAUUUGACAUAGUCAGAGAAGAAGCAAGCAUAGCUAAUGCAUGAGUUUGCUUAUUUUCUCUUUUAGGGACAUGUUCAAUACUUGUACCUUCAAGUUACCUUAUAAGUUGCGUUGCAUUCUUGUGAUAUGGAAUUAAUUUAAAUUUUUUAACAUCAUAAUUUCCCAAGGGUUGACUAACGACUAAUUGUGAGUUGCCAUAGAUUUGAAACUCAAAUUAUUUCAUGUCAAUAGUUAUUUCAAGUCCGAAUAUGAGGGUUUGAUACUUAACGACAUUAUUUGAACAACGUUGAUUUAGAAUAAAGGAGUAUGGCAAAACUUCUUCAUCAGAUGUUGUAAAUACAAUUUUGACUCCAACUCCAUGACGAUGAGUAGCAGAUUUCAAUAAGGAGUACAUUUUUAUUUGGUAGAUCAUCACUUAACUCCCAUUCAACAAGUAUCGGGUGAUCAAUAAGAAAAUCUACUAGUACUUAACCCUUCACGGCCUUUUGGAAUACAUAAAUAAUUUUAAAUUAUUGUAACUAGGUACCAUUUAGCUAGACAGUUGGAUAGUGUUGGUCUACUUAUCACGUAUUUUAUGAAGUUUGCCUUGAAGAUGAGUCUCACACUGUGUGCUUGAAAGUAGUGUUUUAACUUCUAUAUUAUAAAAAUAAGAGUUAAACACAACUUUUCAAUCGGUGAGUAGUUUAAUUUAUUAGAGAUCAUCAUAAAUAAUAAAGGGCAGUUUCUUUCACUUCAUUAUUUUCUUGUGCAACCAAUACCUCCACUAAACGUUCUUGGGUAACAAUGUAAAGAAUUAAUGGCUUUCUAUAAAUAGGUUCAAUCAAGACAGAUGCCUUCAUGAGAUAAGAUUUAAUGCUAUUGAAUGUAUUGCUGUACGCUUCAUUCCAUUGGAAUGGUACACCUUUCUUCAUAAGGUGAUUAAAUGGUUGACACCUUUCAAUUAAAUUUGAGAUAAACCUCCACAGAUAGGUUAAUCGCUCUUGAAGGCUUUUUAUUUCUGAAUAUUGCGAGAUUCAGGCAUUCUCAAUAUAGCAUCAAUGUUGACUCGAUCAAUUUUAAUACCUCGAUGACAGACCACAAAAUCAAGAAACUUUCCUGAUGUAACUCUAAAUGCACAUUUGAGAGGAUUCAAUUUGAGUUGAUAUAUUUUCAACCGAUCAAAAUUUUGUUUCAAAUCCUCCAAGUGAUUAUUUCUUUUUUUUUUUAUUUAACAACCAAAUCGUCCAUAUAACAUUUAAUAUUUUUAUGAAGCAUGUCAUCAAAAAUAUUUUACAUUAAUCUUUGAUAUGUAGUUUUGAUAUUUUCAAACUAAAGGGUAUUAUGUUAUAACAAUAAAUACCCUUAGGAGUAUGAAAUCUAGUGAGUUAUUUAUCCUCAGGUGUUAUUCGAAUUUGAUUAUAGUUAGAAAAGCUAUCCAUAAACGACAAACCCUCAGACCCAAUAAUUGCAUUAAUCAUGAGUUUGGUGAUGGGUAGAGAAAAAUCAUCUUUGGAACAAGCACUGUUAAGAUCCCUAAAAUUUACGUAGAUGUGAAUUUGCCUGUUCUUCUUUCGUACAGACAUGAUAUUUGAAAUUCAUGUGAAAGACUUAAAUUCAUGAAUAAAUCCAUCAUCAGUGAAUUUAUUGAUUUCAACUUCGAUCAAAUAGACCAAAUCGGGUCUAAAUCACCAUUGUACUUACAUUACAGGUCGAACUCCCUUUUUAAUAGGUAAAUGGUGGACUGCUACUUUUGAAUUUAGACCUAACAUUUCUUUAUAAGUUCAUGUAAAAAUAUCUUGAUACUCUUGCAAGAACUCAACAUAUGUCUUCUCUUCAUCAGAAUUCAAUAAAGCACUUACCUAUAUAGGAUAUGGGUCCUGUGAAGUGCCAAAAUUGAUUUUUUAAGUCAUCUACAGUGGCCUUAACGCCUUGUUCAAAUUCAGGUGAAGCAUCUUCAACAUCUUCUUCUUCUCCAAGGGAAUUAUUAUCAAAUAUGGUUAUAUGGUUGUAUGAAACAAUACUUUCUUCAUCAUCUUCCUUUGAUCUUGUUUCUACAAUAGUAUGCUCUCUAACCUUUAGUUCAGUCCCAUAAAUUAUUAUAAGAUUUGUACAUCUCCUCAUUCUUGAGAGAAUAAUGUUACCAAACUUAUAAAUGUUAUGGGGACAAUCAAAAGAUUCUUCAAAUUCUUUCAGUGAUUUUGUCAUUCUCCAUUUAUUCUUAUGAGAAUUUUGAGACUUUUAUUUUCUUUGUGGUCCUAGUCUUUUGAAGACGAAUACUCACAGAGCCUUAUCCCUAUUUUUAUGAAAAACGUGUGACUUAUUGACUAUUUUAGAAGAUUCAUCUCUUAUAGCAAUAAAUUGACUACCAGCUCUAUUGAUUUUGAUGCGAAUUGGUACAGGUGAAAAAUAGUAAAGAUCAGAUUUAGAAUUCUUAACAGCAUAUCCUUUCCCUUUCAACAUCUUUUGAGUAAGGUUUAACCCAUAAGUCACAUCGCUAGUGGCUUGAGGAGGUUUCAAUACCAGAGAUUUCUUGAAAUCAUACCCAAUUUUGGUAAGAAGUUUAUAAGCAAUAUAAUCAAAAGCUUCAUUAAUUCUUGACGUCAGUAGCAUAUCUUGCUUGAUGUCAAACUCUUUAUUAAGAUGAUCAAACCCUUUGAUUAAAGGCGAUGGUAUAUUCGUAGCAUCAAGUUUAGCCACAGGAAGAGUUAAUCCUUUCAGAGUUUUGUGUGGAAUUGAAGAUGGUUGUCCUUGUCCCAAUCUUGACUUGGGAGGGUAUCCGAAGACAACUGAUUUAUUUUUUAACAAUGAGGCAUCAAUUUUUUUAUGAACUACCUCUUUUGAUUUUGGAAUCACCACUUUCUUCGUUUUGCACUUGAUGAUUCGAGAUCUUGGAUUUUAACCAUAGAUGGAGAUUGUUUAAACUCAUUCUUUAUGUUAUACUGAUUUAUUUUUUAACAAUGAGGCAUCAAUUUCUUUCUGAACUACCUCUUUUGAUUUUGGAAUCACCACUUUCUUCCUUUUGCACUUGAUGAUUCGAGAUCUUGGAUUUUAACCACAGAUGGAGAUUGUUUAAACUCAUUCUUUAUGUUAUAUUUUUGGAUAUAAAAUUUAGCAUUAGCGAUAUGCAUUUCUACUUCAGUGUAAAGAUUAUAAUCAGUUUUCACACUUUUUACCACUCCAUUUCGGUAAUACUUGAAAUAUUGGUGAAGAGUUGAAAGCACAACCCCAUUUUCAUGAAUCCAGGGUCUUCCCAGUAGCAUAUUAUUUAUUGUUUUAGUAUCUAUUACAUACAGUUGUGCUUUAGACAAUAUAUCAUCGAUAACUAUCUCUAAAUUUAACGAUCCAAUAGCUCUUUGCCCUCCUUGAUUAAGGUCUUGUAUUAUUAGUCAGCUUAUUGGAAAGUUUAUCAAUGGAGAUGCCAAAUUCCUUUAGAGUUUUUAAGACAAGGCUAUUGACAGCAGAACCUCUCUCUAUCAAAAUUUUAUUCACAUUUUAUUUUUUAGCAUAAACAGUUACAAACAAAGGACGGUUAUGUGAUGUUGACCCAAAAAACAAGUUGAUAGGGUGUUAAUUGUUAGUAAUUUUAUUGCUAUUUUUCCCCUUUGUCCUUGCCAAAUAUUAUUUUAAUUGUUAACAUAUACUUAUUUUUGGUAUUUGGACCAAUCUACAGGAAGUGGAACUGACAAAUGCUAAAAAGGAGAUUUUAUUGAGAAAAAUCCUUCACAUGCUAGAGCCUCCAGCGGAUAUACAAGUUGGGCCCACAUGGUGUUACAAAUUCGGUUGCUGAUGGGGAGCUCUUAUUAUUGGGAGUUGACUUGUACGUGUAGGAGUCCUCCUACCAAGAGGAAACAAGAAAAAAGGAAUUCGGCAGAGGCCCAUCUUUUGUACUUAGCUUUCUCAAUUCGGUAGGGACCAUGGACUAGAGGUUUUCAUUAGUGAUUGGACUUUAAAAGGGAAGAAACGUAUAGAGGCUUGGGGAUUAUUAUGAUUAGCGUAGCUUUAGUUUUAGUGGUUAGCUAGCGUUUCCUUUUCAUGCGCACGAGGUGCUCGACAAUAUUUUUCAACGGGAAAAAAAAACAUCUUUUACUCUUGCUUUCUAGUGAAAAACUUGAUGCCUUUGCAAUCAAUUAAUUUGCGUGGAGAUUUAAUUAUGCGGCGUGGCUAAGCCUUUUAUCUAGUCAAGGAUCAACUCGACGGCGCAGUCCCAAAUAUCUGUGAGAUCUAAUUAGUUUUCACGCGUUUCUUAAUUUGUUAAUAUUUGCAUGUUGCCUAUUUGAAUUUCCACGGGAUUAUUUUGUUAAUUGGAUAUCAAGAGCCCGAUGUUCAAUGUGACUUAUUAAUUUCCUGCCAAAUUAGUCAAUUAAAUCCGUAAUUGUUUGAUUGAUUAAUAUUAGUAGCAACUGACAUGUUUACACACUAGAAGAACGUGCAAUCUAAUUUAAAUAACCCUCGUAGCGUGUUAUUGAUUGGGAUUAGAUUUUUCUAGUUAUUAAUGCAAUUGGGAAAUUAAUUCAUACAGUUGUACCUAGGAGUAUUUUCUGGUUAGGAGUAAUCAUUGGUCGUACCUUGGUUAUCAAUAAAUUAAGGAAAAAUUGGUCGUUAGAAUUCGUCGGCGACUAUAACUAGCCUAUUAAUAAAUUAAGUGAACCUCCCUUGCAUCAAUGAUCGGGUAAGUGGACUGUGUCUGAGUAGUUGUAUUCUUAACUAAAAUUUAUCUAUUCUUGAUUUAAUUCCUGCCUAUAUUCGUGCUAAUUAAUUAUUUAUUUUUAGUGAAUUGCUUAAUUAUUUUUAGUUUUACUCCAAUAAAAUUCCUCUUUACCAAUUGGAAUCUCAAAAAGACAAAUAUUCUCAGUCCCUGAAGAGACGACCCUACUUGCCAUUGUCUACUAUUUAGUAAGUUUUGUCAACUAAUUAAUUUUGGUAUAUCGGAUUAAGCAAAUUUUUCGGGAACAGGGUGAAUUAAGUAACCUAUUGCACAUCUAGAGUCCCGGCUCUAAUAUCUAGGAUUCAUUAUUGACUGCUUUUAGUGGUAUUUAGGUUAUUAUUAUUAUUAUUGCACAGUCUCGACACCUGUCAAUUUUUGGCGUCGCUGCCAGGGACUGGCGUUAAUUAUUUGUUUUUUUAAGUUCAAUUUUGUUCUAAUUUUCUGGUAUUUUUUCUAAUUUAUGCAUCAUUCUUCUCGUAUAAGUGAAUUAAUUUUCGACCCUGAAGUAGAGAAGAUCGCGCGUAGAACGAGAAAAGAAACCAGACAAUUCAGAGAAGAGCACUCAAGUACUACAUCUCAGAGACUUGAGCCGGAAGUUGAACCGGCAAAUUCGUUUGGUAACACUUCGAGUGACUCGGAUCAAGAGAAACUCACCAUGGCAAAUGCACAAACAUUAAGGGAGUUGGCUGCUUCUAAUUUAAAUCAACAGCCUUUAUGCAUUGCUUUCCCAAGUUUGAAUGAUGACACCCUCUUUGAACUAAAAUCUGGUCUAAUUCAUCUCUUGCCAUCUUUUCAUGGUUUACCAGGUAAGGAGCCCUACAAACAUUUACAAGAGUUUGAUGUUGUUUGCAACAGUAUGAAACCCCCGGGAAUCACAGAAAAGCUGAUAAAAAUGAGGGCCCUCCCCUUCUCUUUGAAGGAUUCAGCGAAAGAUUGGCUAUACUACCUACCACCAGGUAGUAUCACCACGUGGGACCAGUUGAAAAAAAAAUUCUUAGACAAAUAUUUUCCUGCGUCUCGGGCCGCCAGCUUAAGGAAAGAGAUAUGCGGUAUCAAACAACACCCAGGCGAGUCUCUCUAUGAGUACUGCGAGAGGUUUAAGAAGCUGUGUAUCAAAUGCCCUCAGCAUCAGAUAAGUGAGCAACUGCUCAUCCAAUAUUUCUAUGAGGGACUACUCUUCACGGACUGGAGCAUAAUCGAUGUUGCCAGUAAAGGGGCGCUAGUGAACAAGACCCCUCGAAAAUCUUGGGAGUUGAUUGAGGGGAUGGCUGAAAAUUCACAGCAGUUUGGUGGGCAGUGGCGAUGGCGAAGGCUCGCGGGGGUGGAAGAGCCGUUGGCGCGACUGGGGCCGCGCGGCUGCUAGAAUCUAGUUGCAUCAGUCUCUGUGGUCCUUGGGAUCUUUGAUUCGGCUGUUCCAUAGCUUGUCGAUCCUUUGUUGCAUCCCUGUAGGCAUUGUAAUUCCUGUUGAUUGAGUUGUUAUCUAGUUUUUGAGGGCACCUCUAGUAGUUCCUUUAUUUGGGAGUUAUUUGGGGUUGAGUUGGGAGUUAUUGGCCAAUUGAUUCCUAUUUUGCUUUCGUCCUGUUUCUGGUACUGUAUGGUUUUGAUUGGGGGGUGUCUCAGUGGUUUGGGUUGCCUGUUUGAAUUGGUUCUUACCUGUGUGUGCACCAGUGGUACUGGUUGUGUUGGGAAUCCGUGACUGAUUUGUUCUUGUCCAAUUGAAGCCAUUUUGAGCAAUUUUGGGGUGAACACAUUUUGUCAUUAAUUGUUGAUUGUUGGGGGACGUUUUUGGUAACACUUGAGUUGAUAGGGUGUUAAUUAUUGGUUAUUUUAUUAUUAAUCUCCCUUUUUAUUCUUGCCAAAUAUUGCUUAAUUGUUAAUAUUUACUCAUAUUUGGUAUCUGGACUUAAUUUCAGGAAUGAAGUAGAAAACUACCAAAAAGGAGGGAUUUUAUGGAGAAUAUGGAAACUUCUAAGGGCUUCAAUUCUUGGGCCCUUGAAUUGGUGGGGACCACAAGCUAGUGAAAGGCAUUUAGUCAUUUGAGCUCUUCAAAAGAAGCUACGUAUAUUUUAUUUUAUUUUAUUUUAUUUAUUUUAUUUAUCUCUUAUUUUUUUUUAUAUAGUUUAUGGCUUCUAACACUUCGUAUUUUGGUGAUAUACUGGAUUUUGUUUCCGGGAAAGGCAAUGUGACUAGUUUUUUUGCUAAGUCUGCAUAUGCAGAGGCACUAAACUCUAUUAGAGAAAGAAUGGCUGCUGCAACCUGUAAAAUUUGUUAUACCAGGGAUCAUUCAACCGGUAUGUGCCCCGAAUAUCAAGAUAAUCUGAGUGUCCCAUUCGAUAAUUAUGGAGAAUUUUCACCCUGGUCUCAAACGUGGUACGACCCUAAUCCAAACGGGUAUGAUCAAGGAUGGUGGGAUAACUCCAAUUAUAAUUAUACAACGGGACCAAUGAAUUUUCAGCAGUAUGAGUCUCAAGAAUCGUCAUCUAUGUCAGGUAUGUCUCUUGAAGAAAUAGUUGAACCAAUAGCUACUAACACAUACCAAUUCCAACAGGAGACACAAAUGAGGAAUGAGAUGAUGAAGGAUGCAAUGAGUUAUCUGGCAGAUCAACUAUGUCUAUUGACAUCCAGAAUAAAUCGAUGGGCUUCUCAAAUGGAAGAACUGCCCUCGAAAACCAUUGUUGACCUAGAAGAAAAUGAGAGUGCAAUUUGCUUGACUAGUGAUGAGGAGAUGCAAGAGUGUCAAAAUGAAAAAUCUACAGAUACAGUUGAAAAAGAAGCCGAAAAGGAAGAAAUGGAACCCCAACCGCAACCCAUUCAAGUGAAAGAAUCCAGUGAAGAAUCAUCAAAUGUGGUGACACCACCUCCAUUCCCUAACCCGCAUUUUUUCUAACUCUUACUCUAUGAUUUCUGUUAAUGAGAUUGAUUUUGUUAUACCGGAAGUUUUUGAGUCUCAUGGCAGAAAUAAGUUGAGAGUGGAGAUGGCGAAAUAUCUUGAACCGUUGAAUGCUCUUGAUGGAGGAAUGGAUGAAGAAUUGCGAUCAAUGCUUGAUUAUGUGGCGCCAUCAACUAGUCCAUGGAAGCCCGUGGUUCGUGUGCUCAAAGAUUACUCCAUCUAUGAGGGUUACCAGGAUCAUAUUGAAGAUGAAGCAUUGAAGCGAGCUACAAGAUUUUAUCCUCCAUGAACAAGACAUAACAAUGUCUAGCCAAAGACAUUAAAGAAAGGCGUUUUUUGGGAGGCAACCCAAAUAUUGAUUUUAUUAUUUUUAGUUGUUCAAUUCUUUCGUUCUGUUGUUUCUCAUUUGGAUAGUAGUUGGUCUUGAUAUUUUUCUCCACUGUGAUCAGGAAGUGAAAUCUUGGCGUGCCCACGCGGUGUUUAGGUCUCCUGAGAUCAGAGGACGAACACCAAUCUUGGCGUGCCCACGCGGUGUUUGGGUCUCCUGAGGUCAGUGAAUGUUUUGUAAUCUUGGCAUGCCCACGCGGUGUUUGACGACCCAAAACAUGAAAAAAAAAAAGUUUCAAAAUUUCACAUUGAGAAAAUUCAAAAAUUCAAAAGGCAUUUUUCUUUUUCUUCAAAAAUUCAAAUUUUGGAAUUUCAAAUUCAGGAAAAAAUUUGAAAAAAAAACAUUGAGAAAAAAAAACCCAAAAAGAAAAAAUUAAGAUUCAAAAAAAAAAAAAAACUAUUUUUUUUUCUCUCUUUUUCUUUUUCUCUUUUCUUUUUCUUUUUUCUUUUCUUCUUUUUUCUUUCUUUCUUCCUUCACCACCGCAGCAGCUACCCCACGCGACUCUCCUCCGCCUACCCCAGCGCACAGCCCAGGCCACGCGCUCCCUCCUUCCUGCAGCCCGUCGACGAAGCCCACCAGCCACCACCAGCAGGCCGCGGCUCCUUCCCCCUUGCGCGGCCACAGCUCGCGAACCACCUCUCCCACAGCGCGCGGCCUUCUCCCUUAUCUUUUGGCCGCGCGUCAUUGGCUCGCCCAAGGGCAGCCGCCGCCGCCGUUCCUCACAGUCAAGCAAUCGCAGGCCAAAGCCCACAACCCCAGCCGGCGCCGCCCGCAGCUCCUCGUGCGUGACAGCCGUGCGACGCCGCGCCUCCCUCAGCAACAGCUCCAAGCUCCAGCUCACUCGCAGACAGCCGCGCGAUUCUCAGCCAUUCACCUCGCGCGACCCCGAGCGCACAAUUCCGCGUGCCGCCAUCGAAGACCGCCGCGCCUCUCCCUCAGCCCGCCAUUGCGCCCCACCACUGUCCCGCUGUCUACGGUUGGGCACAAGGGAGGUACUUUUAAAAGAAAUUUUUAAUUUAAAUACGAGAAUGUCAAUUUCUAAAUUCUGGGGCUGUUUAGUGAUUGUUUGGAUUUCUUGGUGGAUUUGGUUGGCCGUCUGAUUAAAUUCUUCCUUGUGUGAUAACCAGUGGUACUGGUUGGGGUCUUUCGACCAUAGUUGUUGCUUAUAUUUGGUCAGAUGUCUGCUUGUUUGAAAGUUCACGUUCUUGUGAUUGAGUUGUUGCUCAAAUUCUGAUCUGCUGUUGCUAGAACUUUUGGUUGGUUGAGUUGUGCAAUUGACUGUCCAAUUGGAGACAGUUAUUGAGAUCUUAGGUGGGAUGGUGUCCAAUUGCUAAAAUUUGUUGCUUUGUUUCGUCACUCGCACUGCUCCUAGUUUGUUCGAGUGAAAUUGGUUGGAUGUUCUUUGCCCGUGGAGUGUAACUGUUACAUUGUUUGGGGCAGUUUUUUGGUAUUGAUUGAAUUGUUGGGCGUAAAUUGCUCAGGACUUUACAUUGCUAAUUUGGUGGGCCAUUUAUUGUGCAUUACCCUUUUGAAUUGGGAGAUACCUGUGCUUAUUGGGUUUUGACUACUUGAGAUUUCUGUUGCAUCUGGGGGAUAAAAUUUGAUGACUUUUGUGCCAGUUUAUUUGUUUGGAAAUUGUUGGGGGUAAUUUGGGAGUUACUUGUCAAUUGGGUCCCGUGUUACCCUCUACCAUUCAGUGGUACUGAUUGGUGUGUUUGGCUUUAUCACAUGUCUUGGGUUGGCCAUUUGAUUUCAAUUUUCCUUGUGCAUGCACCAGUGGUACUGGUGAGGGUAGUUUACAUAAUAUUUGUUACUCCUGUGUUAUUGGUUGCCUAAUCGACUACUGGGCAUUUGUGGUUGAAUUGUUUCUGUCCAACUUCUGAACUGUUGUUGCUGGAGUGCCAUUUUCUUGGGUCAAUUGCUGAUUUUAGCAAGUUGAAGUGGGUAAUUGACUGUCCAAUUGGAGACAGUUGUUACGAUAUUGGGUCCGAUUGUGUCUAAUUGCUGGAAGUUGUUGAUUUAUUAAGACACUAGCACAGUUCCUAGUUUGUUCGAGUUGCUGUUCUGUUGCAUUAUUGGGAGCUGUGCUCUAGUAUUGUGGCUACUUUCCUGCGUUUAUUUGUUGAAUUGGGAUAUGAAUGUGCCUAUUGCUCAUUUUGUUGCAUCUAAUUGACUUGCUUGGGGUAAUCUGCCCAUCAAUUUUAAUUACUCAAGUCUUUGGAGCAGUUGUUGCACAUUUGGACUACUUUGUUUCUAUAUCUGACUGAAUUGGGACCACAAGUGCUUAUCAAUUGCAUUUGCUAUAAGUAUUGGGGUAUUCGUAUAGAUUUUAGGAGCCUGCAUUGUGCAUUUUAUUGUUUGGGUUGCCUACUAGUUACCAUGGUGAAGCCACGAUCCUCCCCCAGGGGCCGAUGACUGGCUCCAACUUUCGAUGACAGUUGAGAGACUGGAGACUCGAGUGACCCACAUUGACAUCGACUUGCAUAACAUGGCGCAGAAUUUGGCAGCACUCCGCCCGACCCGCCCCUGUUUUGACAAUUUCAAGGAAGUACCGUUGCCCUUCUCUUUACUUUUGUUGUUGGUUUAUCACAUUGAGGGCAAUGUGUGAUUUAGGUGUGGGGGGAUCAGUUUGGGUGCUAGUAUUUUUAGUUUUUAGGUUCUAGAGGUUUUUCUUUUGUUUUAGUUUGAUAUUUAGUUCUUUUUUUUUCGUCUAUUUUAUUUUAUUAUUAUUAUUUUUUUUUCUUUCUCCUUUUUUCUAGUGGUCAGUCUUCAUAUGAAUACCAAGUUUGAUACUGGAUUGUUGUCUCUAAUUCUGCUAUUGCCAAGUCUUAUUAAUAAAAGGGUAUUAAGUUAAUGUGCUUGAGUUCAGGAAUAUCUCUUUGGUGAAUAUCGGUAAUUGCUUAACUUUUUCAAUUUUUGGUUAACUUUUCUAGGCAUAGGGAAUGAUUGUUGGCAUUUUUCAUGUGAAUUGGUUCAGUUAUUAAUUUUAGUUCUCCAUGUCUGGAAAUUUGAGGCUGGCUGCUGUUAAUCUUAUGUUGCUUUUAGAUAUCGUGUUAUAUGGUUGUAAAUAAGAGUUGACUGUACUCCGCUAGUGGUUACUACUGAGUAACCGGGGAUUUUCACCUAAAGUGUCGAUUCUCGCGUCAAAAGGUAGUAGUUGCUAUGAAUGCGUGGUCCUGUAGCGAUCGGAGCUGAGUAACCGGGCUCCUCCAUCUGAUAAAUGUUGGAGUUCGCGUCAAAAGGCUCUAAAUGGCUAGAGACUAAGUCUUUUGCUAUUCCCAAAAAAAAAAAGAAAAAAAACAAGUAAAGUUUGUGUUAGUAUUUAAAAAAAAAAAAAAGAAAGUCAGCUUGCCUAUUUGUGAUCUUAAUGUCGAGAUUUUGGUUAAUAGAUGGACCAUUUGCUGAUAAAUGUGAGCAACCAUUCCUUUUCCUUAGAUUAGUUUGCUUCAAAUUGAAGGAGUUGGUGGUUUAGAGGCUAAUCGGGGUGAUUUUUCUUGGAUGUUGACCUGUGAUGCUUGAUAUUUAUUUUUCUUGGACAUCUUGGCAAUACGGUAGUUGGAGUAACAGCCAUGGUCAACUUUUGGUGUUCAAUUGUUGUUCCCAUACUUGAGGGCAAACAUGAUUUAGGUGUGGGGGGAAUUGAUAGGGUGUUAAUUAUUGGUUAUUUUAUUAUUAAUCUCCCUUUUUAUCCUUGUCAAAUAUUGCUUAAUUGUUAAUAUUUACUCAUAUUUGGUAUCUGGAUUUAAUUUCAGGAAUGAAGUAGAAAACUACCAAAAAGGAGGGAUUUUAUGGAGAAUAUGGAAACUUCUAAGGGCUUCAAUUCUUGGGCCCUUGAAUUGGUGGGGACCACAAGCUAGUGAAAGGCAUUUAGUCAUUUGGGCUCUUCAAAAGAAGUUACAUAGAGAGACUUGGAGAAAGAAGUACUUUGGAGGCUUUGUCCAUAUGUGUGGGGACCACCUAGAUAGCUUUUAGUCAUCUUUCUUUUGUUGCUUUAAAAGGGGACAACGUACAGAAGCAAAGGACAUCUAGGGCUUUAGUUUUAGUUUUUUUAGUUUAGUUCUAGUUUCCUUUCUUUGGACUGGCCUCUGACACACGCCAGGUGUUCGACAAUAUUCCCCAACGGGAAGAUUUUCUCAUGAGGCGUGGUUAAGCUUUUCUAGUCAAGGGGACAACUGACGAUUUGGUUCGACAAUUACUGUGAGAUCGAAUCUGUUUUAAUUAUUUUCUUCAUUUAUUGGUAUUUAUAUGUUCCUUGAUUUUAAUUGCUAUGGCCUUGUGUAUGAUUGAUUAGUGCGCAAUAAUUAAUUAUUCAUAUAGGCUAUUUUUGCUAAAUAGGGGUAAUUGAAUCCGUAAUUGUUCGUUAUCUCUACCUCAGUAGCAACUGGCGUAAAUGGGUUUAUGUCAGGGGAGCAUAUGAUCUAAUUUAAACAAACCCUCGUAGCGUGUUUGUUGGUUAGGAUUGGGCCUUUCUAAUUAUUAAUGCAAUCUAGAAAUUAAAUCCUACGGUCGUACCUAGGGUUGUUUUUGGGUUAGAGAAAUAGCUAACGGUCGUACCUUAGCUAUCGAGAAAUUAAGGAAGGGUUGGUUGUUUAUCGCGUGCAUGACAACUAUAACUAAUCUAUUGCUAAAUGUUGGAAUUAUUUCUGCAUCAAUGAUCAGUGCAUGAACCAUUUCUGAUGUGUACCCUUGGCUAGAGUUUCCCCAAUCAUUUCUUUUAAUUAAUUAUUUUCUGCAGUUAAUUUAUUUAGUUAGCAUUUAAUCCAAAACCCCCCAUACUUUGGACUCUAGAAGAAACGAAUUAUCCCCAAUCCCUGUGGAUUCGACCCUACUCACCGCUAUAUACAAAAUCUGUAUCUUUAUUGAGUAGGUAUUUAUUAUUGUACAGGUUCGGCACCUGUCAAUUUUGGGGUGAACACAUUUUGUCAUUAAUUGUUGAUUGUUGGGGGACGUUUUUGGUAACACUUGAGUCUAUUUUGCUGAGUUCUGUUGAUAGAGCAGUUAUUUGGCACAUUUUACAGUGUUAUUUUGUCCUAAUUUUGGCUAUUCAUGGUGUUAAGAAUUGGAAUAUCACUCAUAUUUGAUGUUUGUGUGAAUUGUAGGUGGUCGGCAUUAAAAAUGACCUCUCAAGGCAAAUUUCUAGAAGACUCUUCGUCUCAGAGCAUGGCCACGCCAGAGAAGGUCGAUGUUACCGAAAAGCCGGACCCCGGUCCACGUGAACCGCAAGGAGCACGGGAUUAAAGCUCUAAAAGGCUAGCUUUUGUUUCAAUCAAUUGGGUCAGACAUGACUUGGCUCCUAGAGGCUUCAAUUAAAAAAGAAAAGAAAGGGCCAGACGUCGAGGGAAUGAGAAUGAGGAAACUAGGUCUACAUGGACCAGCUACACGGGAUAAAAACUCCAAUGAAGAGAAGAGCUCUGCUCCGCGUGGAUUUCCCCUGCGGCACUAUAUAAGACAACAAAAAAGGUGAUGCAGCGGAGAAUAUAGAUUAGCUUUGAUUUUCUUUUCGAGAGGGGUCAGGCGAUUGCAGACUUUUGUAGCUUUUCGGUUGUGACACUUGGACUCCUUGGCUUUUGUUUUGACUCUGCACAAUUUACGUUAGUUUUUGUUCGUACACUUGCGGCACCAAAGCAAAGACGAAGGCAGUGCCUUCUCUGUUGUUACUGCAAUUAAUUCCCCUUCCCCAAUUUUCGGCGAAUAAUUGAAUGAAUUCAAUUAAAUCACGCGGGAUUGACACGAUAAGGAGCGGCUAAUUUUCUCCUCUACCCAAAGGUUGACGCGAAGGCGCGGUCCAUAAUAUCUGUGAGAUCUAAUCGAAUUUUCAUUAUUUCUUUCAAUUUAUUGCUAUUCGUACGUUUCCUGAAUUAAUUGUUCAUGAGUAUUUUACUAAUUGAAUAUCAACGGCCGGGUAUUUGAUUUAAUUUAAUAGUCUACUGCCACGUUAAUUAAAUAGAAUCCGUAAUUGUUCAUUUAGUUAACACCUCGUGGCAACCACCAUAAUUGGCUUUAUGAUGGGAAAACGCAAGAUCUAAUUUAAAUAAACCCUCUUAGCGUAUUUAUUGGUUAGGGUUGGAUUCUUCUAGCUUUAAUGCAAUUGGGUAAUUAAAUUCUCACGGUCGUACCUAGGGUUGUUAUCUGGUUAGAGAAGCAGUCAAUGGUUGUACCUUGACUAUCGAAAAAGUAAGGAAGAACUGGUUGUCAGAGCUUAUUGAUAACUAUAACCAACCUAGUGAUGAAUGGAUGAAAUACCUUUGCAUUGAUGAGCAUCUGUCUUGAGUCCAUUGAAGUGCCGUUGGUUGAGUAAUUUCUGCGUCUUUUUGUUGAAUUGGAAGGCUAUUGUGACACUUCCAUUGCACUUUCGGAAUGCAUUGUUUCUGUAUUUGACUAAAUUCAGGCCACCAGUGCUUCUUGAUUGCAAUCACUGUGCUGUUGGGGUAUUUGUACAGCUUUGAGUACCUGAAUUGUGUUUGUGUUGGUUGGAGUACCAUUUAUAGAGAAUGGUGAGACCUAAAUCCUCCUCUAGGUCUAGGACACCUAGAACUUCUCAGCCUCCUCCCACCCUAGGGGCUAACGAUUGGCUCCAACUCCGAAUGCAAGUUAAGAGACCGGAGAUUCGAGUGACCCACAUUGACAUCAACUUGCAUACCAUGGUGCAGAAUUUGGCAACAAUUAUGCACCAUGCGGGUCUUGUUCCUCAGUUUCCGUCUGACCCACCCCUGUUUUGACGACUUCAGGGAAGCACCGGUGCUCUUUUGCUUACUUUUGCUAUUAAAUUAUCACAUUGAGGGCAAUGUGUGAUUUAGGUAUGGGGGGGAUCAGUUGUGGUACUAGUAUUUCCAGUUUUUGAUUUUUAAGUGUUUUUCCUUUGUUUUUAGUUUGAUAUUUUUCUCUUUUUCGUUUAUUUCUUUUAUUCGUGAUCAGCUCUUAUUUGAAUACCAAGUUUUGAUGUUGGAUUGUUGCCUCUAAUUCUGCUCUUGCCAAGUUUUAAUAAUAAAAGGGUAUCAAGUUAAUAUGGUUGAAUUCAGGAACAUCUCUUUGGUGAAUAUCAAUAAUUGCUUAACUUUUCCAAGUUUUGGUUAACUUUUCUAGGCAUAGGGAAUGAUUGUUGGCAUUUUUCAUGUAAAUUGGUCCAAUUAUUAAUUUUAGUUCUCUAUGUUUGGAAAUUUGAGGCUGACUGCUGUUAUUUUUAGUUAUUGUGUUAUAUGAUUGUAAAUAAUAGAUAACUGUACUCCAUUAGUUGUUACUACUGAGUAACCGGGGAUUUUCACCUAAAGUGUCGAUUCUCAUGUCAAAAGGUAGCAGUUACUAUGAGUGCGUGGUCCCGUAGCGAUUGGAGCUAAGUAACCGGGCUCCUCCAUCUGUCAAAUGUUGGAGUUCGCAUCAAAACGCUCUAAGGGUUAUAAACUAAGUCUUUUGUUAUUCAAAAAAAAAAAAGAAAAAAAGAAGCAGAAGAAAACAAAAGAAGCAGAUUGUGUUAGUAUAUGAAAAAGUCAGCUUGCCGAUUUGUGAUCUUAAUAUCGAGAUUUUGGUUAAUAGUUGGACCGUUUGCUGAUAAAUAUGAGCAACCAUUCCUUUUUCUUAGAUUAGUUUGCUUUAAAUUGGAAGAGUUGGUGGUUGGGAAGCUAAUCGGGGUAAUUUUUCUUUGAUCUUGACCUGUGAUGCUUGAUAUAUGUUUUUCUGGAUAUCUUGGCAAUACGGUAGUUGGAGCAAUAGCCAUUGUCAAAUUUUGGUGUUCAAUUUCUGCUCUCAUGCUUGAGGGCAAGUAUGGUUUAGGUGUGGGGGGAAUUGAUAGGGUGUUAAUUGUUAAUAAUUUUAUUGCUAUUUUUCCCCUUUGUCCUUGCCAAAUAUUAUUUUAAUUGUUAACAUAUACUUAUUUUUGGUAUUUGGACCAAUCUACAGGAAGUGGAACUGACAAAUGCUAAAAAGGAGAUUUUAUUGAGAAAAAUCCUUCACAUGCUAGAGCCUCCAGCGGAUAUACAAGUUGGGCCCACAUGGUGUUACAAAUUCGGUUGCUGAUGGGGAGCUCUUAUUAUUGGGAGUUGACUUGUACGUGUAGGAGUCCUCCUACCAAGAGGAAACAAGAAAAAAGGAAUUCGGCAGAGGCCCAUCUUUUGUACUUAGCUUUCUCAAUUCGGUAGGGACCAUGGACUAGAGGUUUUCAUUAGUGAUUGGACUUUAAAAGGGAAGAAACGUAUAGAGGCUUGGGGAUUAUUAUGAUUAGCGUAGCUUUAGUUUUAGUGGUUAGCUAGCGUUUCCUUUUCAUGCGCACGAGGUGCUCGACAAUAUUUUUCAACGGGAAAAAAAAACAUCUUUUACUCUUGCUUUCUAGUGAAAAACUUGAUGCCUUUGCAAUCAAUUAAUUUGCGUGGAGAUUUAAUUAUGCGGCGUGGCUAAGCCUUUCAUCUAGUUAAGGAUCAACUCGAUGGUACAGUCCCAAAUAUCUGUGAGAUCUAAUUAGUUUUCACGCGUUUCUUAAUUUGUUAAUAUUUGCACGUUGCCUAUUUGAAUUUUCAAGGGAUUAUUUUGUUAAUUGGAUGUCAAGGGCCCGAUGUUCAAUAUGGCUUAUUAAUCUCCUUCCAAAUUAGUCAAUUAAAUCCGUAAUUGUUUGAUUGAUUAAUAUUAGUGGCAACUGGCGUGUUUAUACACUAGGGGAACGUGCAAUCUAAUUUAAAUAACGCUCGUAGCGUGUUAUUGAUCGGGGUUAGGUUUUUCUAGUUAUUAAUGCAAUUGAAAAAUUAAUUCCUACGAUCGUACCUAGGAGUAUUUUCUGAUUAGGAAUAAUCAAUGGUCGUACCUUGAUUAUCAAUAAAUAAAAGAAAAAUUGGUCGUUAGAAUUCGUCGGCGACUAUAACUAGCCUAUUAAUAAAUUAAGUGAACCUCCCUUGCAUCAAUGAUCGAGUAAGUGGACUGUGUCUGAGUAGUUGUAUCAUUGGCUAGAAUUUAUCUAUUCUUGAUUUAAUUCCUGCCUAUAUUCGUGCAAGUUAAUUAUUUAUUUUUAGUGAAUUUUUUAAUUAUUUUUAGUUUUACUCCGAUAAAAUCCUCCUUUAUCAAUUGGAAUCUCAAAGAGACAAAUAUCCCCAGUCCUUGAGGAGAUGACUCUACUUGCCACUGUCUACUAUUUAGUAAGUUUUGUCAACUAAUUAAUUCUGAUAUAUCGGAUUAAGCAAACUUUUCGAGAAUAGGGUGAAUCAAGUAACCCAUUACACACCUAGAGUCCCUGCUCCAGUAUUUAGGAUUAAUUAUUGACUGUUUUUAGUGGUAUUUAUAUUUUUAUUAUUAUUAUUGCAUAGGCUCGACACCUGUCAAUUUUUGUGAUGUUGACCCAAACAACAAAGGACGGGUUAUGUGAUGUUGACCCAAAUAACAAGUCUUCACUAGUGAAUGUGAUAUUUGUGAUAUCCACCUCUUUAUUACCAGUGGGCACGUGAGUUAUCUCACAAGGAGAUUCGCGAGUAUCAUCCUUUGUUCUUCAAUAUCAUCAACUUGCGUUGUGUGACAUGAGACCAUAUCAAUAUCAAAGAAUCUUUUAGAUAUGAAUUCUUUUAAAAUGAUAGAAACUCGCGACUUUUGCUUGAAUACUUGAUUUUCUUGAAGAUUGUGAUUAUUAUUAUUUUUCUCUAUAUUCUUCUCUUUUCUCUUCCAGACCAUUCUACUUCUUGUUAAGGCCUUGUUUACCUUAUUAGAUGGACGAGAGUUUCAUCUUCAUCUUCGCGUGAUCAGAGUUCAUCCAUCAUCAUCUACGUCUGAUUGUAAUGACUUCUCAUCUUCAUAUUCAUAUUUUUGAAGAGCUGAAGGGGCGAUUUUUUGUUCAACUUCUAUAGGAUCAAAUGAUCCAAAUUGAAUGGUUGGCAAUAUAGGUAUCGUAAACUUUUCGACUUCCAUGGACUGUAGUGAAUCAACGGAGGUUUGAUUCAUACUUGCUUUGUUUUUUUCAAGAAAAUUUUUUUCUUGUCUUGCCAAAUCCAUCAUCUCAUCUUUAAAGACAAAGUAUUUUUGAAUGGGAUGUCCAACCAAGCAAUGAUACUUGAUUUGGAUCAUCCGUAUUACUAAUCUCGUCAAGUCAGUUCAUCUUGGAAGCAUGAUCAAGUUCAUGCUUAACAAAUUAUCAAAUAUACUAGGAACAUCAGAAUCAAGGAAAUUGUACUUCUUGUUUUGCAUCUCCUUGAGUGUUGGUUUUUUCUUUCCUUCGUCUUGAUGCAUACUGGUUUUCUUGUCUUCUCUUUUAGCAGUUCUGAGAAUAAUCUUGAAAGGUGUUAUACUUGCAGCUAUGGCCUCUUUCUCACUUUGAUUGGGGGCUUGCCUCCUUUCCUCACUUCUUGUUUCUCCUUAGCCUUGCGAGAAUCAGGAAUUGGCGGCUCUUGUCCAUCAAGGUUAAUUUCUAUCUUAUGAGUUUUUGGGGAUAAUUCAUCAAAUAUUUCUGGUUAUACCCCUUACAAGAUAUAUCUGAAUCCCCAAUGCAAGUCUUGAAUACACAUCUCAAUAGCGGAAGACUCGAAAAUUCGAUCCUUACAGUUUAGGCUUAGAUUUUUUCGAGCGAUUGAUAAAGUUAAUAACAUGUUCAUUCUUUCACUAGCACAUAUUUUAGAGUUCAAUUAUGCUGACAGUCCUUUUCGUGCUAUAGAAGCAAUUAAGGAAUUCCUACUCUAAUUGCUCCCAACUGUCAAUGCUGCUAGAUUCUAAAUCUGUGUACCAAUCAAACGUGUUACCCUUCAAUGAGUGAACAAAUUGCUUAACUAGCAAGUCACCAUUAGUGCCAGCAUUGUUACAAUUUUCGACAAAGUGCGCAAUAUGUUGUUUAGGGUUACCUUUGUCAUCAAAUUAUUGAAACUUUGAAAAUUGAAAUCCUACAAGCAUCUUCAAACAUUUACUCUUGUGGUGUAAGGUUUGAUAUAAUUGCUAUAUGACUUGGUAUUUCCACCAAUCUUGUCCUUGAUCGUACCUUUGAUAAACUCCUUUAAAUUAUCAACAUGAAUGGUACUAUCAGGAGAGAUUGAAAACUCCUUCAUUAUUCGUGACUUGGUAUCCUCUUUCUCUUUCUUCCUUGAUGAUGAGUUACCUUCAUAUUUUUUACCAUGGCCAUUAGUUUGGCUAUUUUGGCAUCUUGACUUUGCACGUGCCCUGCUAGCCCUUCGACAAUUUGGCAAGAUUUGAAAUUUGAUCUCUACGGUUGUGGUGUUAGUCAUCAUGAUGGGCAUUACCACAGAAGUAGCUAAAUUGCUUGAGCUAUCAGCAGAUUCAUCAUGGACUCCCUUCUUGUUGGGAAAAAUCUCAAAAUUUUUUCUUUCAACCACAGCAUUCGCCUUAACCCUAUCUACUAAUUUCUUAGCCUUGCUCCUUGUCAUAGGUGUAGUAUACUGCAUCUCCUGAGUUGUUGGGAUGCCAGCAACUGAGCCUUCAAGAGCAAAACUCAUCUUCUUGGACUCCAUUGAUUCUUGAAACAAGUAAGCUAUUCAAAGAAAAGAGAUGAAAAACAGAGAUGGUCCCACCAGACGUGUCAUAAAAUUUGUGAGCAUAAAUUUUGUUGCCUAAAAUAAAGACAAGAAAAUUUGCAUAAAUAUCAAAUUUAUUAAAUCAAAUAAUAAAUGGGUUAUAAUUUUUGAAAAUUCUUGAAUUAAAGAUAUUAAUCUUCUAAUUCUUCUCUUCAAAAACUUCAAUUGAAGGGUUGAAAAGACUUGUUUACCGAUCAAGAGGGUGUUUCCUACGAUUUUGACAUAGAAAACCGCUGAUUUGAUGAUGACGUUAAAUAGUUGAUGUUGGGUUUGGAUUUUAUUCCACCAAUCGUUCAUUUUGUUGGAUUUGAGUUUUAUACCACCAACUGUGGGAUAAAACCCAAUCCCAAUAAAAUGAACGGUUGGUGGGAUAAUACUCAAAUCCAAUAAAAUGAAUGAUUGGUGGGAUAAAAUCCAAACCCAACACUUGUAUCUUUAAAUCUUCAAUGUCGAUAGAAGGAGGAUUUAUUUUAACUUGAUUUGGAUUUGAAUUUAAGGGAAAAUGCUCUCGAGAGAAUUUGACAGAAUUUCUUCAAAAUUUAGAAAUUUCAAUGUGUUUUUGUACUAAGAGAAUACCUUUAUUUAUAGGCAAAAUAUGUAGAUUAUGUCUUCAAGAAAAUUCUCCAGAACCUUCUUGCGUUUGGGUAACUUGUACCUCAAGAAACUCAUUUAACUUAGGUUUAAAUAGUGGGCCUAUUCAAAUAAUCCAUUGUGAAUUAAUACAUCAAUUAAUCCACUUUAAUUUAAAUGGGUAACACAUUGAUUUGAUUUGAUUUAAUAGCCCAUAUAUCAUUGGUCUAUUUUGUCAAUCAAAACAUAAUAGACUGCUAUAAUUUAAUUUAAUGUAAUCAAGAUCAAUUUAAUUUAUUUAAUCUUGACUAAAUAAAUUUUCUUUGUCUACAGCAUGUACGUGUAAUUUUCCAAAUAAUGAUACUUUUCAAAGAGAGUUUUCAAAUAAUGAAAGUUCUAAAACAAGGCAUUCACCGAAUGCGUGAAUGUAUCUUUUUAAACAACGCAUUUAGUCAAUACGUUUUUAAGGAAAAAUGCCUAUACAAAUAAAAGAAUGAAUUCUAUAAAUGUGUCUUUUGAGGAAACAACACAUUUACUAAGUACGUUUUUUCACUCUUUGGGAAGAAGUUCAAAAAACACCACCAUUUGAAAGGUAAUUUUAGAAAAUCCCACUUUUUGAGAAUUUACUCAAGCUUGUACUUGACAAAAUGUGUUGGGAAAAUUGUGACGUCAGGUGAAUUGUAAAACUGUUGUGCCAUCGUAAUGUAUGUUUUGCACUAGAUUGAGUAAGAAUUAUAUCAAAAUAGUCGGCCACAAUAUAGGAAUGUGAAAACUUUGUGUUAAGUAAGUUGUAAUAUUUUUGUAUCAUCUAACGUAUAUUUGAAAACGAUUGAGAAUAUAAUAUAUGGAAACAACAGGUCACAAUGUUGAAAUGUCAAACCUCUUGUUUCAAACCAAAUACUUAUUAAACUCCUUCAUAUCGCUAACGAAUUUUGAUUCUGAAGUAAUAAUAGUUUUAUUUAAUUAUUUGCCUUUUUUGGAACAAUAUUAAAAUGUAGCCAUAAAUUUAAAUUCCAAAAUUGUUGAAUACUUGAGGAAUUCUAGAAAUGGCACUGAGAGUCAAAGUUCACCUUAUUCAAAAGUCACCAGCCAUCUCAGAGUGCAUGUUUCUAUUGAGUUUCAGGUUCAAUGUGUACCCACUUCCACUUUUGGCUGAUCAAUCAGGACUAAGGUUCCGUUUGAUAAAACUGAAUCUGAAUUCUGAAAUCUGAAUACUGAAACAAUUAAUUUGCUGAAUUUUAAGUUCUGAAAAGAAAUAUAUGAAUGUCUGAAUUUUAAUGUUAAAUCUAUUUCUACUGUUUGAUAAACAUUUAUAACUGAAUGCUUAAUAAGUUAAAUUUGACAAAUUUGCCCUUAAUCUUUUCAUCCAAAAAAGAAGUAGAACCUAUGAUUUAAUUAGGUAAAAAUGUUAGGUAUGAAAAUGACAAUAUUUAUUUUUAAAUCAAAUUAAUAUAAAAGAUGAAAUAUAUUAUAUGCGGAGUGGAGAAGAUGUAAAAAUCAUUCAAAAUGGAGAAAAAAGAAAUAGAAAAUCAUUAGAUAGAGAAUAUUAGAUUGUUUAAUUAGAUAAGAAUUUUGAACAUAAUUAACAAACAAUGGUAGAUUUGAUAGAUAAGAUAAGGUAAUUGAAGUAAUUCUAUUGAUUCUUAUCAGAAUUAAGUAUUCAGUUAGGAUUUUUGUGCUGAAAAAAAUACACACAAUUUCAGCACUACUUAACAAGUUCAGCAAAUAGAUUUUCAUUUAUCAAACAUUCAAAACAUCUAAAUGUCUAAAAAAAUUUAGAUUCAACACUUUUUUAUAUUAUUAAACAGACCCUAAGAGAAUAAAAUAACUUGCUUGCUGUUAGCGAUGGCAACGGGGCGGGGUUGGGGCGGGGGACCCCUCCCCCGUCCCCCGCCCCGUUGCCUAUUAGUUCCCCCUGUCCCCCGCCCCCCCCCCCGCUUCCCCCGCGGGGUUAAUAAAAUUUUAUUAUAAUUAAAUUUUAAUAAAUAAUCAAUUACUAAAAUAUCAACACAUCACCAAAUUAUUAUUCAUUGUAAUUUUACAAUUAAAACUCAUAAAAACAAUCAAACAAAAGUUAUUUGAAUACAAUCCAAUAUGAUGAAAUAAAUAUAACUAAAAUAGUUAAGUUUUCGCUUUUAGUACAAAUGCAAUCACUAAUUCAUUAUUGUGUUUGUGCUUUUCUUUUGAGAAAAAAGUGUUAUUCUAUUAAGUGUAAUUAGAAAUUUAGUAUAAAUGUAUUAGUAAAUUUAGUAUAACUAAUUAAUAAAUUUUAUUAGUAGACAUGUAUAAUUAUUCAUAUAAUUGAUAAUAUCAAUUAUAUUACAUAAACUACUAUACAUUAUAUAAUACAUCUAACUAAUAAUAUCAUUAUCAUAAGUUUAUAACUAAUUAACUUACAUAUUAUAUAUAAUUAUAUAUAUAUUUUUUUUAGGGUGGCGCGGCGGGGGAUGGGGCGGGGGUAUACUCCCCCGUCCCCCGCCCCGUUUCUAAGCGGGGGGAAAAAUUCCCCCCCCCGCCCCAACCCCCGCCCCGAGAGCCCCCCGUGGGCACCCGCCCCCAUUGCCAUCCCUACUUGCCGUUUUUAAAAAAGGAUUCAUUAUUUUUUCUUUGAGCAUUGGUAUCUCCACCCUCAAUGACACUAAUCUGGAUUCAAUAUGAGGAGUGUCCGUAGAGGCUGACUCUUACUCGAGAGUAAAGACUUGACCCAGAGCUUUUCAAGGCGUCAUCAUAUGUAGGAGUCAAACUUAUGAACUCUGUGCAUAGAUAAUUUAGCUCCAGUCUGUGGAAUGUCUUGAUGUUAGGUGAGUUGUAAUAUUUUGGUAUCAUCUAAUGAAAUUUUUAAAAGAUUGAGAAAUAAUAUAGAGCAAAACACCAAUUUAUUCCCUAAAUUAUUUUGCUAAAAUCAAAAUACUCCGUAAAUUUAUUUUGAGUCAGUUUAGUCCCCCAACUAUUUUUACAAAGCUGAAAUAGUCCUUAAACUUUAUUAUGAGCCAAUUUAGUCUCUCAACUAUUUUGUUUAAGUGAAAUAGUACCCCACCUUUAUUUAUUUGGCCAGUUUGGUCCUUGUUUGACUCAUCCACCCAAUUUAUCAACCUUGUGCACUAACAAUCAGGGGCAAAAUAAGAAAUUUAGUCAAUGCCCUUACUAAAAUGAUAGAAGAAUUAGAUAUCUGGCAAAAUUAAAAACAAAAUUGAAUCAUAUAGAGAACAAAAAAAUAUAGUGUUUCUUAUGGAGGAAAAAAAUGGAGCUGAUGCCUAAAAUCUCACAUGGAUCCAACUCAGUCCAUUGAAUGGAGAAAAGGGAAAAUAACACAACAAGAAUAUGUUAAAAGUUGGAAAAUGUGCUAUAAUUAUGAUUACUCCUUUAAGAAAUAAAGCUGAAAGAAGCUCAAUUUCUUUUUGUUUUCCAUAUUAUUCAAUUUCGUUGUCGAUUUUUCGAUAGAUGUAUGUUUUUUUUUUUGUUUUAAUAAGGGCUAUGAUUGGAUUUCCUAUUAUGCCAUUGGCUGUCGAUGCUACACUUGAUAAAUUAGAUGGAUCAUCCAAAUAAAGACAAAAUUGGCUAUGUAAACAUUAGUGAGGGACUAUUUCAGCUUAAGAAAAAUAGUUGAGGGACUAAAUUGGCUUAUAAUAAAAUUAGGGACUAUUUCAGCUUUGUAAAAAUAGUUGAGAGACUAAAUUGACUCAUAAAAUGUUUAGGGACUAUUUUGACAUUAAGGAAAUAGUUUUGGGACUAUAAACAUUAGGUCACAAUGUUGAAAUAUCAAAACCCAUGUUUUGGACCAAAACUCAUAGAACUUCUUCACGUCGCUAACGAAAUUUGAUUAUGAAGUAAUGCUAAUUUUAUUUAUUAUUUGUUUCCUUGCUGGUCUUCUGUCUUUUUGGUUAUUCCAAAAUUGUUGAAUAUUUAAACGAAUUCUAGAAAGGGCACUGAGAGUCAAAGUCUUAUUCAAACAGCCAGCUAUCUCAAAGUACAUAUUUUUUUAUUAUCAGGUUCAAUAUGUAUCUAUUGCAAUUUUUGAAUGACCAGCCAUGACUAAGAGAAUAAAAUAAUUCACUUGCUGUUUUUAGAUAUGAAUUCAUGACUGUCAGUAGUCUAUAAAUACACUUAUUGCUCACCACUCUUUGCACCGCAAAAUCUCUUCAAGAUCCAACAAACCCUCCUGUUCUUGGUCUUUGUCCAUUUGUGAAAAAACAAAUUAAAGCGUCAUGGCCCCUAUCACUUGUAGUGCUGAGAUGACCUCCCCAAUCCCUCCUGCAAGGUUGUUCAAGGCCGCCAUCCUUGAUGACCACCCUUAAUGCCACAGGCUAUUAAGAGUGUGGAAAUCCUUGAAGGAGAUGGUGGCGUUUGAACCAUUGAGUUGAGCACAUUUGGUGAAGGUUAGAUGUUAUAUUAAAUGUAGAACCCCAAAUUUAAGGAUCUAAUAAUAAUCAAUGCGUGCAGGGUUACAGAAUUGGAGGGAUAAAACAAAUACUCAAAAUAUACGUGGAAGAAAAGAAAAAUAAUAAAUUCAACUCACAAUAUUAUUGAAAUUUCAAACAAUGAAGAAAAUCAUACCACAAUGAAUUCAACUGGUUCUAAUAAUAAUCAAAGCAUACAAGGUUACAGAAUUAAAAGGAUAAAACAAACACUCAAAAUAUAUGUGGGAGAGAAGAAAAUAAUAAAUUCAACACACAAUAUUAUUGAAAUCUCAAACAAUGAAAAAAGUCACACCAUAAUAGAAAACCUUGCUAAUGCUUCUAGAUUCUUUCUCUUGAGAAACCAACCUAAAUAAUGUUCUAUUUAUAAUCUACCAAACUUGUUAGGAAAGAAACCACUUGCAUAAGAAAUUACCAAAUAAUACAGAAAUUCCUAAAUCACACAACUACUAAAAACAUAACUCAAAUAAAACUAAAAAAUAAAUAAAUAUUACUAGGCUUAGUUUAAUUUGUCAACAUUGCCUCCUUUAAACCAUACUAUCCAUUGAGAUAGGUUCAACACCAUCUCGAGCAAUAAUUUCUAUGCAAAUCUAUGUUGUAGUACACUUGACAUGAAACUCUAACUUGUUACCAGUUAUUAAUUUCAUUUUUACACGUAACAGUGGACACACUAUGUAUUGUGUAAACAACUUCUCAGCAAUUUCUUCUUGAUCAAAGAACUCACUUAUACAAACCCAUUCAUCACCAGAAUCACCAUAUUUACCACCAAUGUAAGUGCCUAAAAAUACAAAAUCAUAGAUUUCUUUCUCGCUAAAAUUAUCAUCACCAAAUAAUUCAAAAUAACCACUACUACAAUCAUCCAAAAUUUUCAUACUGUCAGUCAACUCUUUUGGAGUAAAAUAUUUUUCAACUCCGAUGACAUCCAUAUCUAUUAAAUCAAACAUUCUCCCAUCACUUUGAAGAGAGUCCGAACCAACGAAUUUUUCAACAACAAUUUCAUGUUCUCUUCUCUUAUCAAAUCAAAAUUUUUUUCUUCUUUUGUCAAAUUACCAUAUUAUUUUUUUCAACAAAUUCAUUACUUCUAAUUUCUCCAAACAAGGUACGCAAAUCAAAACUAUCAAUUGAUUCAAAAUUUUCGAUAUCACCCAUAUUAUCAACAAAUCUAUCAUUUUUAAAAUCCACAAACCAAUACCAAUAAAUAGACUUCGGUUUGAAAGCAUAAUUUCUCCCAAUCGUGUGCAAAACAUAGUAAAUAUCCUUCCAAAAUCUCUAAAGUAUUUUAAUUAGUACGACCAAUAAAGGUUUUAUAAACACUUUUUGCCAUUAUUUUACGCAUCACUUGAAAGAAUAAUUGUGCCUUUUUCUUAAAAACAUGUUUUGACAACUUACUUGCAUCAACCCAACAAAGAAUAUCAUCCAAAUUACAUUGUUUAACAUAUUUUUCCACUAUUAAAAUCCAACCAAAAUAUGUAUGUCCAUUUGUGCUUAUAGGAGUCAAUAUGAAAAAUUUUUCACCGUGAAUCAGAUCUUUAUAAUAUUCCAUUAUUUAACAAUUUGUAUACCUGGAUAAAUUUUUUUCCUCCAUCCUGUCAUGUUUUCUUGGCCUCCCUGGUUGACUAACCAAAUUAUUGUUGUAUGUAUACCCAUGCUCGUCAAACCUCAUUUGUGUACACUCGUAAGGAGUGGUUCUGAGCUUCUUGUGAAUGCUCAGUACCAAGAAGUAGAAGAGAGAAUGCAUAAGAGAGAAUUAACUUGGCUAUAGAAAUAGGAAACAAUUGAGGGAUUUUUUAAGAAAUUAAUUCUCCAGCUACCACUUUUGGAAAUUUUCUAUCAACAACUAGUUACCAAAACACUAGCACAUAAUAAGAAAUCAGGAUAAUUUCAGAAACCUCCCUUGAGGCUUUUAAUAACCUCAAGAAGCUCCCCUCAAUAUUUUAAAAUUACACGUACCUUCCCUAUUGGUGCAAAAGUACUCUACUACCCCUAAUAGGAUACUCAAAAGACUUUUUUUUAUGGGAAAAAUGAAGCUCAGAAAUCCAAGCAAAAUCAAAAAAAUCAAUUGAUUUUCUCUUUUAGCCUUUUACACUUUUGCCUUCUACCUUUGCUCACUUUCCCAUCCCAAUCUUCCUACACCCGCUUUCCCAAUCCCCUUUCCCCAACUUUUCUCCUCUACUUCAAGACCAAUUUUUGUCUAUCUAUCCUGGCUUGUGCUUUGUUCCAUUCCCUUCCCUUCUCCUUCUUUGAUUUCGCCUACAUCUCCCUUUCUCUUUGCAAAAGUGACUAGGCUCAUGUCUCUCUUUUUCCCCCCUAUUCUAAGUGUAGUGGGUUUGAUUAUUUUGCAUCUAUUUUAUUUGAUUUGGGUUGAUUAUGGGUGAUAGAACUUGGCGAUGUCAAAUAUCAAAAGUUUGAUAGAUGGAUAUUGGGCUUUAGACAAUGAUUUGCUGAAAAAAAUGGCUGCAAUGAGACAAAGAGGCAAGGGGAUUUGAGUGUGGGGUUGAUUGUUGAUAAAUUGUUGUUUUGGACAAAAUUUGAGGUUGAGUUUUAUUAAAUUUGAUAGCAAGUGGCGAGUUUUGUUCAGGUUGCGGGAAAUAAAUUAGAUUGUGGUUUCUUGGGCACCCACAGUUGUUGGAAUUGGUUUUGAUUCAAAUUAGGGUGGUUACUUGAUUUUCCUAAUAGUGUUGCUUAAAAGCACACGAUCAUCAAAAUUCCUUAUUUUUAUCUUUUGUUUUUUCUUGUAGAAAAGAUUUCACGACUUUCGUGAUAGUCUAAUUUGGAAGAAGGCAAUCAAGGGAUGCAAUCAACAUUUAGCAAAAGCUCUUGUUCUUUCCUUUGUAAUUUUUAGGGUAAAAAGGGUAGUUUAGGGUAUUUGAAGGAAAUGAUAGUCUAUUGGGUCUAUUUUCAAGCAUAAAUAGUGAACGUAAGGGAGGUUGGUGUAAUUUCUGAAACCUAAGGGAAAUUGUCUGAAAUUGUUCGAGACCUCAGAGGAGGUUUUCGAAAUUAUCCCUAAGAAAUCAAAUGCGAAACUUGAUUAGUACACGCACACACGACACCGCACCACGCCGCGCGUGUGUUGAGGAUUGGUGUCCGUAACCAACGACAAGCAGGUUUUCAAUUUUUUUUUCCUUUCCUGGAUUCUCCAGAGAUGGUGUCAGCUUCUAUUAUUGAUGAGCAGGAGGAAAUCCACAAUAUACAGUACACAUCACCCAUAUUCUUUUUAAUUGAACAAUGUAUGAAAUUAUGGUGAUUCGAAAUUAAAUUAUAUGUUUAUUGGGCACUGAAUCCAAAAUAAGAGUUGGAAAUGUAUUGUGACAACAAUUGUUAACAUAGGCCACAAAUGAUCAAAACAAAUAUUUAAGGUUUAAUAUGACAUUAUGGGUUCAGAAUAUAGUUACUUGUUAUGAAACAACUAAAAGUAUGGAUAUCCAUUUGUAUUUUCAAGAGGAUCAAUUCAUAAUUCAUUGCUCCCAAGAGGAUUAAUUCAUAAUACAUUGCUACAUUAUGUAAAGGAAUUGCAUUGGAUGAACGGUUUCAAUCCAUAAAAGCUAUUUAUGUAUUGGAUGAACCGUUUCAUAUGGCUAUUCAUGUUCUUGUAGUAAUGAGUGUUUAAUAGAAUUGAUGUACCUUUAAUUUUGUAGUACCUAUAUAUACAGGUACUUUGGCACCUCUUGGGUAUACUUUUUGAUUAGUUGGAAUAAUAAGAAAAUUAUUCUUCAUUUCUGUACUUCUUUCUCUAAUAUUUCAAUUCCUAUUAUAGUAGUUCAUUUUUUUUAGUUUUACAACACGUUAUUAGCAUGAGUCUCUACUUUUGAACAAAAAGGUGAAAACGGAGCCUCUACCUUAAAAAAAAGUGAAACACGAGAUUCUGCCAAAAUUUUGCCCGUAUUUUUCCGGCAACUUCUGUCCACUUAUUGAGAAAUGGAUGCCAAAUAUUUGGGAUUAAAUAAUGGUGAUGAUGAUAUUUGUCUCAUUGAUAGUGCUACUACGCACACUAUAUUGAAAAAUAAAAAAAAAAUUUCUUGUAUGAAAAUGGGAGAGACAAAUGUUAAUACCAUAACUGGUAGUGCAAAAUUGAUUGAACGCUCCGGAAUAGCCUCUCUAUUUCUUCAUGAAGGGACUAAAAUUGUCGUAAAUAAUGCACUACUGUCUCCCAAGUCUCGGAGAAAUUUAUUGAGUUUUAAAGAUAUCUGCGAAAAUGAAUACUAUAUAGGGAUAAUGACUGAGACAAAUGGAGAAUUUUUAUUAAUCACAAGUAUCAUUUCUGGGCAGAAAUGCGUAGUAGAAAAAUUACCUUCUUUUUCUUCUAGCUUAUAUUAUGCACAAAUUAGUGCAAUUGAAAUUUAUCACCUAGUAGACCAGAAGUCUACUCAUCCCAAUAAUUUUAUGAUUUGGCAUGAUCGUCUCGAAAAUACUGAAUCUAUAAUGAUGAGACGAAUAAUCAAGAAUUUACAUGGUCACUCAUUGAAAAAUUAAAAGAUAUUAAAAGCAAAUGAAUUCUCCUGUGUUGCUUGUUCCCACGGAAAAUUAAUUAUUAGACCAUCACCAGUUAAAGUUGGGACUGAAUUCCCUACAUUUCUAGAACGAAUUCAUAGUGAUAUAUGUGGACUCGUAGAUCCACCAUGUGGACCAUUUCGAUAUUUUAUGGUGCUAAUUGAUGCAUCAACUAGAUGGUCACAUGUAUUUUUAUUAUCUACUCGCAACUUGAUAUUUGCGAGAUUGCUUGCUCAAAUAAUUAAAUUGCGAGCACAAUUUUCAGACUAUCUAAUAAAGAAAAUUCAUUUAGAUAAUGCUGGUAAAUAUUCGUCACAUGCUUUUGACAAUUAUUGCAUAUCUAUUGGAAUAACUAUUGAACAUCUUGUAACUUAUGUUCACACACAAAAUGGUCUAGCCGAAUCAUUUAUUAAAUGGUUACAAUUAAUUGCUAGACCAUUGUUGAUGAGGUCUAAACUUCCUUCAUCUGCUUGGGAAUAUGCUAUAUUAUAUACAGCAAUACUUGUGAGAAUUAGACCGACAAGUUAUCAUACUUAUUUUCCUCUAUAAUUAACUUUUGGUUAUAAGUCAAAUAUUUCUCAUUUACGAAUAUUUGGUUGUUCGGUUUAUGUUCGAAUUGCACGGCCCCAAUGUCGUAAAUUGGGUCCACAAAGAAGAUUGGGGAUAUAUGUCGGAUAUAAAAUCACCUUUAAUUAUUAAGUAUAUGGAACCAUUGACAGGUGAUUUAUUUACUGCAAGAUUUGCAGAUUGUCAUUCUAAUGAAUCACAUUUUUCGACAUUAGGGGGAGAUAAAAAUCAAUCGAAAAAGAAAAUCACUUGAAAAAUAUCAUUCAAUUUUCUCGAUUCUCGUACCAAAGAAUGUAAACUAGAAGUUCAAAGGAUUAUACAUUUGCAAAAAAUUACAAAUCAACUACUGGACGUAUUUAAUGACUCCAGAAGAGUUAUUAAAUCACAUAUUUUUAUUGAAAAUACUCCGAUUAAAAUUAAUGUCCUUGAAGGACAAAUUACAAGUGUUAAUGAGUGUAAAGUGCGCCUGAAGCGUGGGAGACCUCUUGGUUCUAAAGAUAAAAAUUCUCGAAAGAAAAGAGAAAUUGAUGAAUCAACAAUUAGUGACAAAAUUCAACCUCCUGAAGAAGUCGCUCCUAAAGAGCCAAUUCUUGAAGAUAAUGAAAUUAUAGAAAAUUCAAUAAAUUUUGUCGCUUCAGGAAAAAGUUGGAACAAAAAAAAAUUAUUAAUAGUAUUUUUGCAUAUAAUGUAGCACUUGUUAUUAUGGUAGGUAAUGAAGAUCGUGAGCAUAGAUCGGUUGAUGAAUGUCGACGUAGAAAUGAUUGGCCAAAAUGGAAAGAUGCGAUUCAAUCUGAAUUGGACUUACUAGCUACAAGAAAAGUUUUUGGGCCUGUAGUCCAAACACCUGAAGGUGUAAAGUCAGUAGGAUAUAAAUGGGCAUUUGUGAGAAAAAGAAAUGAGAAAAAUGAAAUCGUGAGGUAUAAAGCAAGACUUGCAACCCAAGGAUUUUCACAAAGGCCUGGAUUUGAUUAUGAUUACACGUAUUCACCUGUAGUGGAUGCUAUCACAUUUAGAUAUCUUGUGAGUUUUGCAGGACAUGAAAAAUCAGAUAUGCAUCUAAUGGACGUCGUUACUGUAUAUUUAUAUGAAAAUUUUGAAAAUGAUAUUUAAACGAGAAUCCCUGAAGGAUUCAACAUGCCUGAAGCAUGCAAAUCAAAUUUUAAAGAUAUUUAUACUAUUAAAUUACAAAGGUAUUUGUAUGGGUUCAAACAAUCUGGACGUAUGUGGUACCGCCUCAAUGAAUGUUUAACUAAAGAAGGCUAUACCAAUAAUCUAAUACAUCCAUGUGUCUUUAUCAAGAAAAAUGGACUAAUUUUAUGAUAAUUGUUGUCUAUGUUGAUAAUCUUAAUCUGAUUGGAACUCUUGAAGAGAUUCAAAAUAGUGUUGAAUAUUUGAAGAAGAAGUUUGAAAUCAAAGAUUUUGGAAAAACAAAAUUCUACAUUGAUUUACAAAUUGAGUGAUAGGUUGCAAUUUUAUCAUUUAUUUUAUUAUUAAUUUUCCCUAUUACUUAACCCAAUGUGAAUUAAUUAUUAGAUUCUACUCACUUUUAGUAUUUUACAUAUAUUUCAGGGAGUAGAACGAAAAUACCAUAAUAAGUGCCGAUUUGACAGUUAUCAGGAAAGAGUUCAAGUAGCAGGCAUCCAGGGCAUUUUUGGAACAAGGAGAUACAAGUCCUUUUUGGUAAUUCGCAGAGCGCAGCAUUAAAAGGAGGAACGAAGGGCUGAAGUAGGGAGUCUUCUUCCCCCUGGGAGGAACCGCCGCACAGCAGAGGGCUGUCUGGUCCUCUUAGUUUUUCCGUUUCUUUAGUUUUAGCUUCGGAUUUUGACUUUUCUUCUCGUAGGAAUUUUGGGUAGCCUUGAGCUUAGCAACUUUUGUUGACCCUUUUUUGGCCUUUUAGCUAGUUUGUUCUUACGCAUGGAAGAUGGCUGAAUAGCUGAGGCUUGUUCUUUGUUUUUCUUUGACUUUUCCUUUUGGUUUGCUUCCUGCGGACGCCCAGACCGAAGGAAAACUAUGAAGUCCCUUUUGUAGCUUUCUCUCUUUAUUAAAUAGACGAAUUGAAUUCCCUCAACUUGCGAAUUGAUGGCCGCAGCUUUUGCUUCAAUUUCUUGUGGGUUUAGUUCAUUAAUUAUGAACUAAUUCUACAAUUCUAGUCAAGGGGACAACUGACGAUUUGGUUCGACAAUUACUGUGAGAUCGAAUCUGUUUUAAUUAUUUUCUUCAUUUAUUGGUAUUUAUAUGUUCCUUGAUUUUAAUUGCUAUGGCCUUGUGUAUGAUUGAUUAGUGCGCAAUAAUUAAUUAUUCAUAUAGGCUAUUUUGCUAAAUAGAGGUAAUUGAAUCCGUAAUUGUUCGUUAUCUCUAUCUUAGUAGCAACUGGCGUAAUUGGGUUUAUGUCAGGGGAGCAUAUGAUCUAGCUUAAACAAACCCUCGUAGCGUGUUUGUUGGUUAGGAUUGGGCCUUUCUAAUUAUUAAUGCAAUCUAGAAAUUAAAUCUUACGGUCGUACCUAGGGUUGUUUUUGGGUUAGAGAAAUAGCUAACGGUCGUACCUUAGCUAUCGAUAAAUUAAGGAAGGGUUGGUUGUUUAUCGCGUGCAUGACAACUAUAACCAAUCUAUUAAUAAAUGUUGGGAUUAUUUUUGCAUCAAUGAUCAGUGCAUGAACCAUUUCUGAAGUAUACCCUUGGCUAGAGUUUCUCUUAGUUAUUUCUUUUAAUUAAUUAUUUUCUGCAGUUAAUUUAUUUAGUUAGCAUUUAAUCCAAAACCCCCCAUACUUUGGACUCUAAAAGAAACAAUUACUCCCAGUCCCUGUGGAUUCGACCCUGCUCACCGCUAUCUACAGAAAUCACUUUUAGUUUGAGCAGGUAUUUAUUAUUGCACAGGCUUCGACGACCUGUCAAUCUUUGGCGCCGUUGCCGGGGACUGGUGCCAGAUUAAAUUGUUUCUUUUUGAGUUUAUCUUGUUUUCAUUUUUUUAAUUUAUUUUUCUCUUAUUUUUUAUUAUUAUUAUUAUUUUUUUUAUGGCUGCUAACAUUCCAUAUUUUGAUGAUAGACUGGAUUUUGUUCCUGAAUGGGGUUAUGAGACUCAUGUUUUUCCUAACGAUCAAUGGGCUGUUGCAAAUUGUGGAACUUAUUUUGACUCAAGUUAUUCAACUGACACAUGCCCCGUAUUUCAAGAUAAUUUAAGUUCUCCACUUGAUACUUUUGGAGAUUUUUCACCCCAAUAUCAAACGUGGUAUGACCCUUAUUCAAACGGGUAUGAUCAAGGAUGGUGGGAUAAUUCCAAUUUUGAUUAUGCGACCGGGCCAAUGGAUUUUCAACAGCAAGAGUCUCAGCAAUCAUCCUCCGUGUCAGGUAUGUCUCUUGAAGAAAUGAUAGGUUUACUAAUUGCUAAUUCAAAUCGAUUUCAUCAGGAGACACAAGCGAGCCUAAAUCGAUUUCAUCAGAGGACACAAGCGAGCUGUCGCGACCUGGCGGAUCAACUGCGUCAAUUGACAGCCAGGAUGCAGCGAUUAGAGGCUCACCUUGAAGAAUUGCCCUCGCAAACCAAUAUCAAUCUUGAGGAAGAUGAGAGUGCAAUUGUCCGGGCAAAUGACAUGGAACUGCAAGAGUUUCAAGAAAACGGAUUUAAAGAUGCAGUUGAAAAGGAAGCUGAAGUGCAAGAAAUGAGACUCCAAGAUCAACUCGUUCAAGUGAAUGAAUCCAGUGAACAAUCUCCAAAUGCGGUGACAUCUUCUCCACUCCUUAAUCAAUAUUUUCCUGGCUCCUAUUCUUCAACUCCUGUUACUGAAAUUGAUUUUAUUAUACCAGAAAAUUUAAAAUUUCAUGACAGGAAUAAGUUAAGAGUGGAGAUGGCAAAAUAUCUUGAACCAAUGAAUGCGUGUGAUGGAGGAGUGAGUGGAGAAUGCAGAUCAUUGUUGACUUGUUUAGCGCCAUUUACUAGUCCAUGGAAGCCCGUAACUCGUGUGCCCAAGAAUUACUCCAUCUAUGAGGGUUACCAGGAUCACGUUGAAGAUGAAGCAUUGAAGCGAGCCACAAGAUUUUAUCCUCCAUGAGCAAAACAUGAUAAUGUCUAGCCAAAGACAUUAAAGAAAGGCGCUCAUUGGGAGGCAACCCAAUUUCUUUUAGUUGUUUGUUUGAUUUUAUUUGUUAGUUUAAAUCUGUCUUCCUUGAAUUUGACUGAUUUUGGGUGUUAAUUUUCGUUUUUACUGAUUUGUAGGUGACCUUCAGUCAUGACGCGCCCGCGUGGUGACGUGCAGGAAGCUCACGAUCAGAAACUUCUGGGAGCUCUCUUACCCUCAUGACGUGCCCGCGUCAAGUCACCUGGAGAGUUCCAGAUUCCGUGCCUUCAUGGUGUGCCCACGUCACGUUCACGGGAGAGAUAAGUAUUUAAAAAAAAAAUUCAAAAACGAUUGUUGAUUGUUGGUUAUCUCUGCUUUUGAAUCUCGAAAAUAAAAUUUGCUAAUGAAAAUAAAUUUCAAAAAAAUAAAAAAAAAUUUUUUAAAAAAAAAAAUUUAAAUUUUUGUUUCACGGUAGCUUAGAUUUUCAAAUCCUAAAAAAAAAAAAAAACACAGAAACUCUUUCUUAUCAACGUAGCUUUAGUGUCAAAUAUUUUAAAAAAAAAAAAGUCUCAAAUGAAAAAAAAAAAGGGCUUUUCUUUUUCUUUCUUUUCUUUCUUUCUUCUUCUUUCUCUUUUCUGUCUUCCUUCUCCCCUGUUUCUUCUUCCUCUCUGUUGACCGAAGCCCUCUGUCCGCCGCCGCUGCUGAAGCGCCCUCAGCCGUCGCGCAGCAGCUCCUCACUCGAAGACGCCGCGGCCACAGCACCUCUGCACGCGGCCUCCACCUCUCCAUCGCGCGCCGUCAAGAGCUCCGCCGACCCACGACGCGCGAGGCACCAGCUCGCGCGCCUCCCCCACCUAGCAACUGCUGGCCGACCAGCCCCACCACCAGCCCGCGCCGCACCUGCUGGCCGACCUAUCAACUCCUAAGCUCGCGAACCUCCUCAGCUCAGCUCCACCAGCGAGCUGCUCCUCGCUCACUCCAUCGCGUGAAGACCAGGCGAGCACGGCCCGCAGCCUCUCACCGCCACUGCGCACCUCUGACCAGCUCGCAGCACCUCUCUCUGCCCUCCGUGCGCUGCCCGCGCGUGGCACCAGCGCCUCCACAGCUCGUCGACGAAGCCCAAGCUGACAGACCACGCCGCUCGUCCACUUCCACCACUCGCGACGCACAGAUCAGCGCUGCCGUUGGUUGCCCAACCUCCCUGGUGCCAGGUUUUUCUUACUAAUUUUGUGGUCUACGAUUCCAAUUUCUUGAUGAUGGGAUUUUUGAUGAUUACGAUUUCAUUGAGUAAAUUUGAUUGGCUUGCAUCUGUGUUACUGGAGCCCGUGGGUUGGGUUAUGACCUGCAACUGAUUUGCCUAGUCUAAUAUAAUUGUCAUUUGUUUGGGCUCUUGAAGUACUGUCUAGUGUUGUUUGUAUUUCUUAGUGAAUUGAGUUUGCCGUUUGAUUUCAUUCUUCCCUGUGCGUACACCAGUGGUACUGGUUGUGGUAGUUGCCUAACAUUUAUUCAUUCUCAUUGGUGUGGCUGUUGGGAUUGAAAGCUCAGAACUUGUGACUAAGUUGUUAUUGCCUAAAUGCUGACCUGCUAUUACUAGACUUGCUGAUUUCUUGGGAGCAUUUGUUGGGAUUUUGGGUGGAUAUUAGCAAGUGGUAUAUUGCUUGAUUUUUUUUACCUGUGCCUUGCUUGGAGUUUCUAGUGCAUGUUUGGGGCUGCCUUGGGAGUUAUUUGCCACAAUUGAUUGCCGUUUUGGUUUCUUCUGUUUCUGGUACUGCUUGUGCUGAUGGAUUUAUCAGUGUUUUGGGCGGCUUAUUUGAAUUGCUUCUUCCCUGUGUGUUUGGUCAGCUGUUUGCUUGAAAACCCAAACCCUUGUGCUUAUAUUUGCUCCCAGUUGAGUUAUGUGUUGGACUUUCCAAUUGGUGACAACUUUUGGGCUUUAGGGGUGAGUUCAUUUUGUCAUUAUUUGCUACCUUGUUGGGGUCAUUUUUGGUUUCACCUGAGUCUAUUGUCCUGCCUUCUGUUUUGAGUCCAUUGGAGUGACGUGAGUUGAGUAAUUUCUGCUUUUGUUUGUUGAUUUGGAAGGCUACUGUGCCACUUUCAUUGCUUAUUGCUUAGUGAUUAUGUCUAAUUAACAAUGUGCAUAGCAUGGCGCAGAAUUUGGCAGCAUUCAUGUAGCAUGCCGGUCUUAUACCUCAAUUGGGUACCUCUAUUUGGUUGGCUGCGUUCUUAUUGUCCAAUAUCUAUGCUGUUUUCAAUGGAAUUGCUGAUCUUGGGUUAAGACUUUAGCUGGCCAACUGGAGCCAUUUGUUGAGAUUUUGGGUGAACUGCAAUACUGCACUCGUUUGUUCAAUUGGGAGGUUUCUUUUGGUAUUCUGGUUGAGUUAUUUCUAAAGUUGCCUGAUGAAUUGAGAGACAUAGAUGGCUAUUGCUCUGCCCUGAUAUUGCUUGGUUGCCAGUGCGCAUUCUCUAUGCCAAGUGGCAAGGAUGUCUCAGAACUCGGCUUCCCUCCACUGUUCCCUCCUAUCCCUUAGCUGUUCAGCAGGGAAGUCUCGUUAUCCUCUUCGCUUUAAUUAUUUUAUUACCUCCAUUGAGGACAAUGUAGGAUUUAGGUGUGGGGGGAGCAGUUAUGGUGCUAGUGUCUUUCGUUCAUUUUCUUUUUCUUCUUUUUAGUGAUUGGCUCGUAAGUGCAUGCCAAGGUUUGAUGUUGGAUUAUUGCCUCUAUUUCUACUUUUGCCAAGUUUUAAUAAUAAAAGGGUAUCAAGUUAAUGUGGUUGAAUCCAAAAACAUCUCUUUGGUGAAUAUCAAUAAUUGUUUUACUCUUAUAAUUUUUUGGUUAACUUUCCUAGGCAUAGGGAAUGAUUAUUGGCAUUUUUAGUGAAUUGGUCCGGUUAUUAACCUUAGUUCUCCAUGUUUGAAAAUGAGGCUAGCUGAUGCAAGUUUUCUUUUGGUUCUUGUGUUAUAUUGAGUUUUUGUGAUUUUUAGCUCUGAAUAAACUUGACUGUACUCCGCUAUUAGUUACUACUGAGUAACCGGGGAUCUGCACCUAAAAGUGUUGAUUCUCGCGUCAAAAGAUAGUAGUUCCUAUGAGUACGUGGUCACGUGGCGAUAGAAGCUGAGUAACCGGGCUCCUUCAUCUGGCCAAUGUUGGAAUUCGCGUCAAAAGGCUCUAAUGGCUAGCGACUAAGUCUUUUGUUACUAUUGAAAAAAAACGAGAAAGAAGAAGAAGAAAAAAAAAAGAAAAAAAAGAGAAAAGUAGAAAAAUGUGAAAGAAAAAGUGAAUGCUGUGUUAGUGUAUAAUAAAAGUCAGCUUGCCGAUUUAUGGAUUUAAUGUUGAGAUUUUGGUUAAUAGUUGGACCAUUUGCUGAUAACUGUUAUGCGUCAUUCCUUUUUCUUAGAUUGGUUAACAUGAAAUUAGAGGAAUUUAUGGUUUAGAAGCUAACCGGAGUGAUGUUUCUUGGACUAGACCAUUGAUGCUUGAUUAUUAUAUUUUCUUGGUAUCUUGGCAAUAUGGUAGAUGGAGUAAUAGCCAUUGGCAAGUGUUGGUGUUUAUUUGCUGUUCUCAUGCUUGAGGACAAGCAUGGUUUAGGUGUGGGGGGAAUUGAUAGGUUGCAAUUUUAUCAUUUAUUUUAUUAUUAAUUUUCCCUAUUACUUAACCCAAUGUGAAUUAAUUAUUAGAUUCUACUCACUUUUAGUAUUUUACAUAUAUUUCAGGGAGUAGAACGAAAAUACCAUAAUAAGUGUCCGAUUUGACAGUUAUCAGGAAAGAGUUCAAGUAGCAGGCAUCCAGGGCAUUUUUGGAACAAGGAGAUACAAGUCCUUUUUGGUAAUUCGCAGAGCAGCAGCAUUAAAAGGAGGAACGAAGGGCUGAAGUAGGGUCUUCUUCCGCCUGGGAGGAACCGCCGCACAGCAGAGGGCUGUCUGGUCCUCUUAGUUUUUCCGUUUCUUUAGUUUUAGCUUAGGAUUUUGACUUUUCUUCUCGUAGGAAUUUUGGGUAGCCUUUAGCUUAGCAACUUUUGUUGACCCUUUUUUGGCCUUUUAGCUAGUUUGUUCUUACGCAUGGAAGAUGGCUGAAUAGCUGAGGCUUGUUCUUUGUUUUUCUUUGACUUUUCCUUUUGGUUUGCUUCCUGCGGACGCCCAGACCGAAGGAAAACUAUGAAGUCCCUUUUGUAGCUUUCUCUCUUUAUUAAAUAGACGAAUUGAAUUCCUUCAACUUGCGAAUUGAUGGCCGCAGCUUUUGCUUCAAUUUCUUGUGGGUUUAGUUCAUUAAUUAUGAACUAAUUCUACAAUUCUAGUCAAGGGGACAACUGACGAUUUGGUUCGACAAUUACUGUGAGAUCGAAUCUGUUUUAAUUAUUUUCUUCAUUUAUUGGUAUUUAUAUGUUCCUUGAUUUUAAUUGCUAUGGCCUUGUGUAUGAUUGAUUAGUGCGCAAUAAUUAAUUAUUCAUAUAGGCUAUUUUUUGCUAAAUAGGGGUAAUUGAACCCGUAAUUGUUCGUUAUCUCUACCUCAGUAGCAACUGGCGUAAUUGGGUUUAUGUCAGGGGAGCAUAUGAUCUAGCUUAAACAAACCCUCGUAGCGUGUUUGUUGGUUAGGAUUGGGCCUUUCUAAUUAUUAAUGCAAUCUAGAAAUUAAAUCUUACGGUCGUACCUAGGGUUGUUUUUGGGUUAGAGAAAUAGCUAACGGUCGUACCUUAGCUAUCGAUAAAUUAAGGAAGGGUUGGUUGUUUAUCGCGUGCAGGACAACUAUAACCAAUCUAUUAAUAAAUGUUGGGAUUAUUUUUGCAUCAAUGAUCAGUGCAUGAACCAUUUCUGAAGUAUACCCUUGGCUAGAGUUUCUCUUAGUUAUUUCUUUUAAUUAAUUAUUUUCUGCAGUUAAUUUAUUUAGUUAGCAUUUAAUCCAAAACCCCCCAUACUUUGGACUCUAAAAGAAACAAUUACUCCCAGUCCCUGUGGAUUCGACCCUGCUCACCGCUAUCUACAGAAUUAAUUUUAGUUUGAGCAGGUUUUAUUAUUGUACAGGCUUCGACAACCUGUCAUUGAGCAUUUGAAAAGUGAAAUUUUUGUCCACCAAACUGCUUAUACCCGGAAGGUAUUAAAGUAGUUUUAUAUGGAUAAGGCAUAUACAUUAAGUACCCCAAUGGUCAGAUCAUUAGAUCCUAAUAAGGACCCUUUUAGACCGCGAGAGGAAGUUGAAGAGAUACUUGGUCCUAAAGUACCAUAUCUCAGUGCAAUUAGUGCACUAAUGUAUCUUGCUAAUUGUACAAGACCUGAUAUAUCAUUUGCAAUAAAUUUAUUAGCAAGAUUUAGUUCUCGCUCACAAGACGACAUUGGAAUAGUAUUAAACAUAUUUUUUGUUAUCUCCAAGGAUCAAUUGAUCUUGGCUUAUUUUAUUCAAAUAAAUCUAAACUUGAAUUGUUUGGUUAUGUUGAUGCUGGAUAUUUAUUUGGCCCACAUAAAGUAAGAUCUCAGACUGGUUAUCUAUUUACAUAUGGAGGUACAACCAUUUCUUGGCGAUCUACAAAGCAAUCAUUAGCUGCCAUUUCAUCGAAUCAUGCUGAAAUAAUAGCAAUUCAUGAAAUUAGUUGAGAAUGUGUUUGGUUAAAAUCAAUGACCCACUAUAUCCGGAAAAGUUGUGGGUUAUCCUCCGAAAAAGAAAAUCCUUCAACUAUAUUAUAUAAAGAUAAUGCAGCUUGUAUAACUCAAUUGAAAGGAUGAUAUAUUAAAAGAGAUAGAACGAAAUAUAUUUCACCAAAAUUCUUUUUUACUCAUGAUUUACAAAAGAAUGGUGAAAUUGAUGUGCAACAAAUCUGAUCAGAUAAUAAUUUGACAGAUUUAUUUACCAAUGCAUUGCCAACUGCAAUAUUUAAGAAAUUGGUGAAGAAUAUUGGAAUGCGACGACUAUAAGAUCUCAAAUGAUAUUUGCAUCCGGGGGAACAAUCAAUACACAAGAAUAGUGUACUCUUUUUCCUUCAUUAAGGUUUUUAUCCCGUUGGAUUUUUUCCUAGUAAGGUUUUAAUGAGACACAUUCUUUGUGUAAUGGACAUCCAAUGGGGAGUGUUAUGAAACAACUAAAAAUGUGGAUGCCCAUUUGUAUUCUCAAGAAGAUCAAUUCAUAAUUCAUUGCUUCCAAAAGGAUUAAUUCAUAAUUCAUUGCUACAUUAUAUAAAGGAAUUACAUUGGAUGAACGGUUUCAAUCCAUAAGAGCUAUUCAUGUAUUGGAUGAACCAUUUCAUAUGGUUAUUUAUGUUCUUGUAGUAAUGAGUGUUUAAUAGAAUUGAUGUACCUUUAAUUUUGUAGUACCUAUAUAUAGAGGUACCUUGGCACCUCUUGGAUGUACUUUUUGAUUAGUUGGAAUAAUAAAAAAAUCAUUCUCCAUUUCUGUACUUUUUUUUCUAAUAUUUUAAUUCCUAUUAUAGUAGUUCAUUUUUUUUUUAGUUUUACAACAUUACUCAAAGAAGAGGGUUAUUGGACUAUAUGUUUAUUGACCUCUACUAGGGAUGACAAUGGGGGCGGGUGACGGCAAUGGGGGCGGGUGACCGCGGGCACCCGUCCCGCGGGGGGCUAAUGGGGAGAGGGAUGGGGCCGGGGCGGGGGGUAGGGGAGUGUACCCCCGCCCCAUCCCCCGUCCCGCUACCCGCUUUAAAAAAAUAAAUAUAUAAAAUAUAUAUAGGUAUAUAAUUAUAUAUAUAAUAUAUAAUUUAAUUGGUUACAAACUUAUGAUAAUAAUAUUAUUAGUUAUAUGUAUUAUAUGAUGUCUAUUAGUAUAAAUAAUAUAAUUGAUAUUAUUAAUUAUACUAAUAAUUAUAUAUGUGUACUCAUACAAAUUAUUAAUUGGUUAUACUAAAUUUACUAAUACAUUUAUACUAAAUCCCUAAUUACACUUAAUACAAUAACAUUAUUUUCAUAAAAAAAACACAACCACAAUAAUGAAUUAGUGAUUGUAUUUGUACCAAAAGUGAAAAUUUGAUUACUUUAGUUAUAUUUUUUUCAUCAUGUUGGAUUGUAUUCAAAUAAUUUUUGUUUGAUUGUUUUUAUAAGUUUCAAUUGUAAAAUUGCAAUGAAUAAUAAUUUGAUGAUGUGUUGAUAUUUUAGUACUUGAUUAUUUGCUAAAAUUUAAUCAUAAUAAAAUUAUAUAACAAAUUUUUAUUAGCUCAGCGGGAGCACCCGCCGGAGAAGCGGGGCAGGGUGGGGACGGGGCGAGGGAAGCGGGGGAUGGGGGAGGGGUCCCCCGCCCCAACCCUCUUCCCCAUCUCCCGCCCCGUUGCCAUCCCUAACCUCUACUAACUUAUUUAAGGUCAUUUUAUAUCACUAUCCAAAGAAGAAUUAAGGUCAUUUUAUAUCACUAUCCAAAGAACAAUUCUUGGGCGUUAACAUUUUUCUUACAUGCCAAGACUAUUAAUGAAAGUUGACCCAAAUCUCUCUCUCUCUUUCUCUCAAUUCUUAGGACUGAUGCCAAUUCUUACCAUUUAGAAAGAAAAAUUAGAUUGUUUAUAUAUAUGAUGAGUUCCCUCUAAGUCAUGGUUAAGAAAAAUUCUUAGUUAGACGCAGUUUUAUGAAAUGUGAAUUUCCUUUUCUUUGUCUUUAUUCGUUAGUAUUAUUGGGGUUAUUGUAUUAUGAUUGCAAUGCACAGAUACAUGGAUUUUUGACAUUUUUUUCUCAUUUUUUCUUUUUAAUUGACUCUGACUAUGUCUCAAACUCGAGACAUCAAACCUGGAGAAGACUUUUGUCCAAAAUGCUUGUAAAAAUUCAGAAGAAUAAUGUUGGACCUUAUUAUUUAAUAAUGGUGCAAUUAUGAGAGUCAUUCCUGGUUUAAUUAUCAACAUCAUGUCAUUAUUAUUUUUUUGUUUCAUAGAAAAAUAAAGUAUUCUCCGACUCGACAUUAUCAUAUUAUUUUCAAUUGGCAGCUUUAAGUGAGAAAGGCCGGUGAAAAUUUUGGGCAUUACUAGUUUAUUUAGGCCUCACGCGCUCCGUGAAGGUGCCGACGUCAUCUUCGUUUUAAUGGAAAAAUUUGAGCGCGCUUUGAUCAUAAGGAAUUCACAAUCAUCGGGCCAACAAAGAAAGCACUAAAUGGUUAAAACAAACCAUGCAAAUUUGCUCAGCACUUAAACAAUAGACUCCUAAACCGACCAUUUUACUGUCUUGCCAAAAAAGGGCAUUAAAGUAAAAACAACCCAUGCCUAACACAACUAACAAACUUCAGCACCUUCACUUCACUGCCACGUCAUCAACAACAUCUGUAAAUUUCCAAGGAAGUCCACGCACUAAAGGUGCCAUGGGGGACCUCAGGUUAGUGUUCUUAACAUCAACUCCUGUCUUUAUAUUCUUAGGAAAUAUUGAAAUUAAACAUUAUAACUAAUCCUGAUUUCCUUAUGCUGUAUUUGUACACAAUUUGGCAACUUGAUAAAAAGUUUGUUCCAAUUUAUUCCAAUUUAAUUUGUCAGCUAGUCGAAUCUAAUUUGAAUAGUAUUUAACUUUGAAAUUUGAUAAAAAGUUUGUUCAAACUUGGUUUACUAAAUAAACAAGUUAAGUUUGAACAAAAUUUCAAACUUAUUAAAAUAAUUAAAUACGUUUGAAUACUAGGGUAUUCAAUUUAAUUAGACUCGUUUGCACCCAUAAUUAAAGCAUGCACUUUUUUAUAAAUUUAGGAAUCAACAUUAUCUAUUUGAUAGCUAGCUAAUGGCCCAAAAAGUUAAUUGCCUUAAAUUCUUUUAGCAGCCAUAAAGUAUAGUUGGAGGGAUUCCCUUGAAAUUGAUUAGAUUCUUCUAUGUGACUGUGACGUAUUACUAGUCCUACCCAAAAAAAAAUGGUAUUACUAGUCCUUUUUUCUUUUUGUGGCGUGCCACCGCCGUAGGGGGCGGGGAGGGCAGUCAGUGCGAGAAUUCUAGAUGGGGUAGAAGUAGCCAAAGUUCACCUUAUUCAAAGUAAACAACCGACAAUCUCAGUUGUCGACUUUCCUGUCGAUUGCGUAUAUAUUACUAUCUUUUACCAUGACUUUAGAGGAUACCUAAUUUUGCUUGCUAUUAAAUAAUAAUUCCUGGCACCACAUAAUUCUUUCAAGAACUACCAAAACCUUCUUGAAAUCCCUCUUUUUCCUUUUAGUUCAUUUCCAAGAAACAAAUUGAACCAUCAUGGCCCCUGUCACUUCCAGUUAUGAGGUCACCUCCUCAAUCCCUCCUGCAAGGUUGUUCAAGGCCACCAUCCUUGAAGAGAAGCAUCUUCACAAGAUCUUGCCACAGGGCGUUAAGAGUGUCGAAAUCCUUGAAGGAGAUGGUGGAGUUGGCACAAUUAAGUUGACCACAUUUGUUGAAGGUAAGAUAUCAAUACAAAGUGAUUAUUUUCACACAUUUGAAGUCCUCAAAAUGUUCUUUUUUUUUUUUAACAUUUUAUUUGUGGGGGUAAGUAUGUAUGUAAGCCCUAAUAACCUUUUUUUUUUUGUUGGGUUAAAUAUUUAGGUGGCGAGCUUAAGACUGCCAAACAGAGAGUUGAUGGAAUUGACAAAGAAAAAUUUACAUACAGUUAUACUGUACUUGAAGCUGAUGGAUUUAACGAUGUAAUCGAGAAAAUCUGUUGUGUCAUCAAAUUUGAACCCUCUGCUGAUGGAGGUUCAAUCUGCAAAACCACUAAUACAUACUACCCCAAAGGUGGUGCUCAGAUCAGUGAGGAACACCUCAAGGGAGGAAAAGAGAAGGGUUUGGGAAUGGUUAAGGCUGUUGAGGCUUACCUCCACGCAAAUCCUACUGCCUACAACUAAUUAAAAUGAAUGCUACUGAAGGACUCUUCGACAUAUUUUCUUCAAGAUUGAAGUAUAAACUGAGGGUGUCUGUUUC
rnacentral:lncRNA from 1 species